rnacentral:lncRNA from 1 species
AAAAAAACAAGUUACUUUCAUCUGUACCAAUAAUGGAAAAAAUAAUGUCUGAAUAGCAGGCUGAAAUUUUGUUUAUGCACUGCAAUAUAAGUAUUGAAAAUUAUAAUGAAACUAUUCAUUGAUUUAAUCCUUAUAUGGACGCAUCUCUACGUAUUCAGUCAUAAUAAUAAAUACUUGGUACUGUGGCAGGUUUUUUGGCAUUUUUCUUAUGUACCAUUGUUGCUACCUGUGAAGGUUGGGGGUGUUGGUCUCAUGGUUGUGGGUUUAUUCUCAUGGGUAUGUCAUCUUGGAUCUUUACGAUGGAUUUCCUUUCUACAGCACAGGUUUUUUUUUGUCAUUUUUAAUAUAGAUUUAGGAGGAUAAGUCAACUUUCUAAUUGUUUGUUUUGCUACUUUGCAGCUUGUCCACAAAUAUUGUUUUUAGCUGCAUUUCUUCUCCUCUUGUCUUUUUGGUGAGUUUUCGGGUGCAAUUUGUUUAGAAUAUUUCAAUAGGUUCAUAUGCACAUCUUAUUCGUUCAUAUGUCUCUUUUUCAGUUAAUUGUUGCUUUAUAUUUUUCAUAUAAACUAUAUUUUUUGCUCUGUUCAUAAAAGUAUAAUUUGGGGAUAUGUUAACGGAGCCUUGCAGCUAUGAAGUGUUAAUGCAUGAGGAAGGAAGAAUGUGAUAAGUAACAUUGGGAAUUAUCUGAAAAAGGACUUAAGUCUGUAUUUAUAUUCAAAACAAUCGUAAUUGAGGUUCUACUUUUGCCCCUAGUUUGUGUCUUAGCUGUUCAAUUUCAAUUGCCAUGCUAUUUAGAAACUUUUGACUGUUGUUUGGAAAUAUGGGGGAUUUUCCUUAUGCUUAAAAUUCUGUCACAGGGUUGAUCUGUGUCACCAAACAAACGACGAAGAAGAGGAAGAUGAUGAACAUACUUACAAUGAAGCUUUGUUGGACAAAAGAAAAAAUAAACCAGGUGCGAUGCAUGCUGAUGUUCGUAGACGAUGCUGCUCAUUUCGAUCAAUUCAUGUUGGAAGCCGGCAAAAGUUUGUGAUCUUGGUAUUUGUGCUUUUCGCUCCGUGCAUGUAUCUUCACCAUUCUUCUGCUUAUGUAGUCACAUCUUCACAUCUUAAUUAGGUGAUAUAAUAUUUAGGGGCUUUUGCUUGUAUAAGUACUUGCCAAAAAGUCAUCAGAUCCAUGCACAAUCUGAAUUUUCCUAUAAACCCCUUUGAAGUGCAGUCUCUUACAAAAUUAUGCUUAUCAUAAACUGCCAAUCUACUGCAAUUCAUGGGGGGGCAACUGGCAAGUUGUUUUAAUAGUUUGAUGGCUUUUCGCAUACAGAGUAUUUGUAACAGCACAAUGGCACAUACAUAAGAAACAAAGUUUCUAAGAAGGGCAUAUAUGGAAAUCCUGUUGAGAUUUUACUCGAAGAAAGACUAUCUACAUGUGGUAUUAGUAAAAAUAUUAGUAGUAAUAUAUGUGUCAAUAAAUACUUUAGUGCCAUAUCUUUCUGAAUACAUCUCUAAUUUUUGUAGCAUGUCAUGAACAUGGUUUAUAAAUUUGCUUAUGCAUUUGCACUUUGCACAAACAUUUACUAAAGCUAAGCUUCCUUAUUCCUUAUUUUCAUUGUUAUAUCCCCAAUAAUGUGACUGAAGUUUUUUUUCUUUUUUUUUUUAAAGGUUGUUGUGCUGAUAUUUGUCUUAAUGGCUGCAUUUGCUGUUCUGAUCUGGGUUGGUAGAGGAAGAAAUCAGAUUGAUUCCUCGCUCGUGGCAAGGGUAGUUAACUGCAACCACUGAAGCUACCAAACAUUUCAUGGCAUUAAUUUUACUGCCUUUUAUGUUUGUCAAUCCUCAUUGUCCUUUAAAUUUGUUAAAAUAGAAUAAUUAGCAUUUCAUCAAAGUGUCACCUGAUGGAAAUAUUUCUGAAUAAUAAAAGUUCAAACUUUUUUUUGUUCUCAUUGUACGCUAUCUGAACCAUGGAAUUAACAUCCUAAAAUUGCUAAGAUUCUUUUGUACUGUUCACUGAAAAAAGAUUCUUUUGUAUACAAUGUGAAAACUUCCCUUAUGAUAUUAUGGUAAUUUCCAUGCAAUACAAAAUGGUUUACCCAUAAAACUUUGAAUCAGUGAGAUUCGGGCACCUCAGCAAACAAUCAGAGAAACUGAUAGCAUACUUCAUGGUUUCCUUUUUGUUUGUUUGAUUAUUUGUGUAUCAUUUGGUUAUGGAGUUUUCUGGAAAUUUGAAUCUACAUUGCCUUUUUGAACUUUUGGACAUAGGUAAAUAAGAUAAACCUCUAUGAAAUUUGUCCUGUAUAUUCUGCAGGUUUAUCUGGACAUCUUUUCUGCAGCUAUCCUUCUACUAGGUGGUGCUUUUGCAUGCUAUGGUGAGGAACUUUUAUCUGCUACAGUGGCAACUGUAUAUUUUACAUUUCCCACUCUUUAAUUAUAUCACAAGCAAGAAGGAUGCAUCUGUUUUACAUAUUAGUUUGCUAGUAAUGUUGUCGUUUCACUCUUUGUCAUCUAUCCUGACUUAAGUAUUACUCUUCUAAUUGCAAUUUCUUGGAUAUUGUGAAACUUGAAAAAUGCUCCAAUACAAUGAUGUCUUUUCGUAUAUUCCUUUAUUUUCUUCCACAUCUGGUCAAUUAUGAUAUCCCAGACUUCCCAAAGUUUAGGUGGUUAAUUGAACAGAGAAAUAUUUGUCUUGUUCCCCAGUCUUUAUUAUUUAUUUAGGUAUUCAGCUCUUCCUAUCAAUGUUUUUUACUCAUCGGAUAGUGUUUACUGUCAAAGAGAACUAGAUUUAGAGAAUAUUCACAUAUAAAUAAUUAUGAUUUUAUCUUGUGAUAGUUGAUUCCAUCAACAUUAGCUUCUAAUUACAGAGUAGUAGGCUUUGCUUUUCAACCGACAAAGCAUCGAAGGAGAUGCUCUGUUUUGUGUUGAUAUUUUUCAUUGUAUGUUCUUUAAUCACAGUGAAACCUACCAAAACUUUCUAGGUCUAGGUGGUUGUCUGGCUAAACCAAUGGUUGAUUAAUGUUAUUGGCAGAUUUUUAUGUUUCUUGUAAUUAGCUUUGUUCCGAUCUCAUUUUGUAUGUGGUUUAUCUUUUUUUCUUUUUUUUUCAACAUCUGCUGUUUCCAUAUGUUAUGAGAGUUUUCACAGAUUUGCUUAUUUCGCUCUUUAGUGCUAGAUAAUACACGUGAUAUUUGUAACUAUCUUGAUUAUGGUGAUUUGUUAAGUCUAGAUACAUUUUAUCUUUCUUUUUUUUUUUUAACCUAAAUGACUGUUAAAACCGUAACACAUUUCUUUUUUCCCCUGUUUUUUUUUUGGCCAUGUUCAGGGUUUCUGUUAUUCUCAAAGAUGAGCAAAGUACGGUCUGAAAUGGUCUCAGCUGAAAUGUGGAAGGUACUGUUUUUUUCUAUCCAUAUAUUUUUUUCCCUAUUAUCUCUUUCGCCGGACUUAUUGAAUAUUGAGUUAAUCAAUUGCUUAUGAGACACACUAUGGAAUAUAACCUCAAGUACUUGCAAUAUUAUUAGCUUAUAACUUCGGGACAUUUUGAUUUUACUAUCUAUGCAGGUCGCAAGUUUAGCUGCUGUGUGUCUUGUAUGUUUCACAUCCUCAUCUAUUCUAGCGCUUGUUACAAAUGUUCCGGUAAGUUCUUUUCUUCUCUCUAUUUUUUUUUUUUUUUUCGGUUAUUCAACCAGAUAGAAGGCAGGUAGAAUAAUAAAGCAGCCCAUUUACUUAUCUCAAAGCUUGCAUAUGUUUAGUUGCAGGUGCUCUCCUAUUGGCCAUCUAAGCACUUCAACAGCAUUGGAAGUUCGGUCUUCAUGUUUCUCUAUUAUCUUUUUGGUAAUUUUCCUCCUCACAUUUUACUUGAAAUAGCAAACCCUAAGAUUGGCAAGAAAAGAUGCUGCAUUAGAAAAUAAAUAUGUUAGGCUAAUUGUUUGUAUGUGGUAAGUAUAUGAGAAGCGACAAAAGACAUGAAUUUCCUGUUAAAGAAGUUAAAGAUAUUCGAUCUAUUUUUAAGAGUGAAUCUGGGAACAUUUAAAAAGCACAAAGCCUGAAGCUUCAGUGAGAUCUAUUUGAGAUAUUCAGCCUAGCUUGCGUGUUUGAGACUACUCUUGUGACUCUAUACUAUCUAUUACUGAUUUGUGCUUAAUAUGUACGUAUUUUGUGACCGAGAGUCUCUCUAAUUUUGUAUUGCUUGGUGUGGUCACAUUCGAAGUUAAUUUUUGUGAUUUAUCGUGAUCCUCUUUUUUCUAUGUCGUGCAAUAAAUCAUUCUUUGGAGUUCUCAAAAUAUUAAUAGUUUCCUCGCAAGCAUGAACCCUGGAUGGAGAAUCUGGUGUUUUAAUGCAAACUAGCUGUACGGUUCUUGAUCACUUCAUUAAUCAUUCGGGCCCUCUCAUUUUAUGAAAAUUUUCUUGCAGGUUCGUCGGUGCCGUCAGCAUUUGUGUUAUGGGUCAUGAGAGAUAUGCCACCUCGGCUUUCAACGGAUAUACCGACACACUCAAGGGUGGUAACUUUGUUCACAGAUAGAGCUACAACUACACAAUAUCCUCAGUGGCGGACCGCUGUCACGUCCUCGCAGAGUAAGGUACACUCACAAUGCAAUGCAAUAUUUCUUAAAAGUCCUAGACAUUGAAAUAAGAUGUGGACUUUUUGACCCCUCAAAAUUCCACAAAGGGGGGGUGUUUACGUGAAUGUUCCUGCAAAAUCGUCUAUUUGCAUAUUUACUCCCGUAUAGUCUGAGUUUUUAUGUACAACCCUUGAGAGUGAGUUUAACAAAAAUUUCCCAUCUUAGAUUCUGCACACCCAUCAAAUUCAUGGAGAGGUUUUUUGUAUGUAUUAGAAAAGACAUUUUAAAGAGGCAAUUUUGUGAGAACCAGGCUAUACAUGUAAGAAAUUUGAGCUUUUGAUUGGCGCAUAUGGACAUUCAAAUUUGCAGCAGUAUGUCUGUAAAUUUUUAUUUUUAUUUUUUUUUUCCAGGGCUGCUUUUAUAAAAAAAAUUCAAGAAAUCAAGCAAAUAAUAACCUAUCAGUUUUGAUCCAACUGUGCGGCAUUUUAACUUACUGUUUAUUCCUGAAUUGAUAAUUCAAUGGCAGGCCCUUAAAGCAAGCCCAAUAUAACCGGUGAAGCCCAGUGAAUGUCGCAUUCCCUCUGUGUGCACUAUGAGUAGUUAUUUUGUACUUCGUUGGUCGAUCAGAAGCUUGAAAACCGACGGUCAAGUACGGAGCGAAGAAUCGCUGUUUCAGGAUGAAAAAAUAACUGAAACGUGUAGAAAGGCCUACGGAAGCUGUGGUGUUCUUGUUAGAUGGGUUGCGGGUUAUGAAGUUAAUCCAACGGCCGGAAACCAUGGUUUGAAUCUUCGAUUACAUGUACAUAAUAAUAACUGGAGAAGUACGGAUGUUCGUGGUUUAUUUGUGACCUAACCUAGUUCUAAUGGCCAUACCUUUUCUUCCAUGUUCUUGAAAUUUUAUUUUGUGCUUCUUAAUCAUAUUUCACUGCUUGGAUUAUAUAAGUUGCUUUUAGAAAAUAGUCGUCUACCACCUAAUUCUUACGUUGGACUUACUCUGGCAUUAUCUAACUACUAUGUGAUGACUGUAGAGACGACCAUUUUACUUGUCCUAAACUAUGUAGCAAUUGACCGUGGAUGGGGAUUUUAAUUAUUUAUUUAUUUAUUUAUUUUUAUUUUUGGGUUUUGAUUUUGUAUACUUGCCAAGUUGUGUGAAGCUGCAAUUGAACUCCAGGGUAAACUGAUUAGCUAAGGGCAUUAUUUCAUAGAUGUAUUGCAAUGACUUUGGUAAGUGUACUGCAAAAGUAUGCGAAAACUCGGCUCUUUACGGAUUGACUGAGCCAAAAAAAAAAUAAAUAAAUAAACAAAGGGAAAAAAAAAAGGCGCUAUGAUUACUCUUAAGAUGAACCAAACACAAUAAAUGCAGCUUUAGUCGUAAUUUGAUUAACAGGAGUCAUAUUUCUAGUUAUGUUGAAAUAAUAAGGAACAAUGCAUGGUAGAGCAAACUGAAAGAGUAUGUAAAACAUUCCAAAUUGAAAAAGAAAAAAGAAGAAAAAAGAGUCUUCACUAACUAGUACAUAGAUAUCUUGCCAUUGAAGUCACCCGAUCCAAAGACAUAAAUCUCUUAACUGAAGUGCUCAACCAGAAUUAAAUCAACCCUAAUCAAACUCCUCAAAUUUUAGCUUUCUAUUAUUAACAAAUUAAGAUGCAUACAAAAUAAAAAAGCAGCGAGUUUUGAGAGAUAACACACGAUGCUCAAAUCCACACUUCAAAAAUGGUAAGGCUCACAGAGUGAGCCAAUAGCAUGAAUGAGCUUCCUCCUCGGCCCAACUGCGUAAGCACCCAUAUCCUUGAGCUUGCUCAUAGAGAGAGAAACUAGUUGAUACAUACCAAUCUUUUCCCUCUCGAAUAACCGAAUGAAUCGGCAGAGACCCUUCGAUUCCAGCCAUUUUCUCAGCCCGCCAAGCCCUCGAAGCUUUCGUUCCAACAUCAUCGCCCGCAGCCGCCUGUUCGCAAUGUUCGAGUGGCAUAUCGGCAGUCUCAGACUAAUACCUUCCACUUUCAAAGACCUACCUUUUCGUACAUUACGCUGAAAUCCUAAAUUCCCCUUCUGAACAGCAUGACCUGAACAAUUAGCUUGAUAGUUCGGCACGACGCCGCUGUUCUUAGCUCUAUCUCCGAAAGGGUUUAAAAAAGAAUUCUUCUUGCUGCUGCCACCAUUAAUUUCAGCAUCACUUCCAUUCUUCGAUUGCUUGUGAUUAGUUCUUUUCGGCGUAAGCGAGCUUCCUCGACUGUUCUUUGUGCGCUUACUUUGGUUACGCCUUCGUACCACGCUUUCAACUUGAGGGUGUUGAGGUGACGGCGGCGGAAUCAAAAUGGUGAUUCUUUGUUUCGUCACUACUACCCACUCGUCGUCUUCAUCCCAAUUACCGUCAUCAAUCAUCGAGUUUGAUGGUUUGAUUACGGCAUCCUCAGCCAUCGAGUUUGGUUGGCUAAUGACCUGCAUUUGAUUUUCUGGGCGCGCAGUUCAGACGUGCUUAAAGGAUAAGGUAAACCAAUUAAGAAAUGUAGUACUACCAAUAAUGUAGAAAAUAUAUAAUGCCGACUAUAUAUUAGGGUUUUUCUCUGUUUAGUCUCGUAAUAUUCUGAACACAACAUGCUCAAAUUUUGUCAGAGCAUAUUCUUCACAAGAUUAGUGAAUUUGAGCAUAGUGAAAGGAAUUUUAGAAAUAUAAUAACUAACAUACAAUAUAAGAAGCAUAAACCAAACUACUUGAAAGCAAGAAAGCAUCAAAAGAAAGCAGGCGCAAAUCGAAGUAGUACCGAAAUUAGUUAGAUUAAAAGCCUUGAUAUAACUUUAACGUCAUAAAUGUUCCAAAAAUACAGUUUUCUGUCAAGUACUUUCCCUUGAUGAUCAACUUUUCUGUCCGCAGCAAAGACUACGGAUAAAACUAACUACGAAACGAAGUACAUGAUUGGAUUUGGUGUUCUACACUUCGCAUGUACUACAGAUAAAACUAACUACAAAAUGAAGUACGUGAUCGGAUUUGGUGUUCUACACUUCGCAUGUUUGAAACGACAUAUAUAAACUUAUUUGUAUAUGUAUCAGACGCUACGGCCACAAGAUUUAAGAGCCUCUAACUAUCUCGAAAAGCCGCAGAAACGUACUUCAUAAUGUUUUAAAAAAAGGGAAGAGAUUCUCAGAAUAGAUUUGUUGCAGUGUGAGUUCCACAGUUUGAGACAUUAAGAAUUACGGCACGAUAGGAAGCUAUAAAAGUCGAAACCUUCUUAAAUAAUUGCAUAUCUAAAUCCUCUUAAUGAACACUAACUUAGAUAAUAUUGGAAACAGAAAUAAGCUUUAAUUACUCCCAAGAAACCACACAACAAUUACCAUUAACAAAUUACAUGAAUUAUUGUAAUAUAUAUAUGUAUAGUUGAAAAAUAAAGCUGCUGCAUUGGAUCACUAUUAUUAUGCAACAAUUCCGAUAAAAAUAUUAGCAAUAAUCAUUUAUCUCUUACAGAUGCAAAAGAGCAUUGUGAAUUCGUGACUAUUUCAGGAUUAGGAUCCAAUAAAACAAAGCAUCCUCAACUUUAUUAGUAUUAUGUUUUUAAUUGGCACAACCCUCAAAUUUGAUUUUUUGUUAAAAAAAUUUGAAUUAUUCUGGAAAAUUAAAUUGAGAAUGUUGUUAAUUUUAAUGUCUCUAUCAACUACUAGCUAUUAAUUGUUAACGGAAUCUAUAAUUAAAUUUAACGAAAUUACCGUUGAUUUUUAACAAAAUCCCCAAUUUAAAUCACCAGAGUCAUUCCAAAAAAAAAAGAGAAAAAUCAUAAAAUAAAGUUAAGGGGUCUUUUUCAAAAUUGGACCUAGCAAAAAGAAAAACAAAAAAACGAGAAUUUAACAGCUUCUGACCACUACAGGAGCAAAUCCAGCUAAAAUUUACAUUAAAAAAAAAAACCAUAAAAAAGUAAAUAAUAAUAAUAAUAAUAAUAAAAAACAGGGAUCCAUGAUCACUGGGGCAUCGUUACAUCCUUGUAUCGAUUUUUUUUUUUUUUUUUUUUUUUUCAUGUUAAUGGGGGAAAUGGAGAGAGACGAGUGAUCGCACCUAAGGUGGAUGGGGAAAGAGAUCUCGGGCGAGAUUGAGCGGCGAAUUCGGCGCCGGAUUCGGAGAAGCUAGUGAGGAGUCGGCGACGGAUACCCGCCUCACGCCGCCGGAGCGUGGGGAUGUGUCCGCAUGCGAUCGUCCGUAGAUCGGUAUCCUGGCUAACACGAGAAAAAAAGAGAAAAAGAAAAAGAAAAAGUUAAAAUAAAUAAAACUACCCUACAGAUAUACAUUUUUGCACUUUAACCCUUCUAUCUUUUUAAAAUCUCUACUGCGCCCCCUCCAAAUUUAAAGUUGGGCACCCUGUAACGCCCCAAUAGUCCCGUAUACAUAAAAAUGAUUCUGAUUAAAAUAUAUGAGACUAACUAGACUUAAUCAUUUUAGACCGAUGAUUUGGGCCCAACGAAUUAGUGUUACUAAUGAGUCAGGUCGUUAUAAUUAAUAUCAGAACUGAAUACUAGCCGAAAGUGUGAGAAUUAAAUACUAUACGGGACAAAGUGUGGACCCGAUGAUGCCCCAAUAGUGUUAAUGAAUUAGAUUGCGAAAUUGCAAUUAGAUUGUAAGAUUUAAUUACAAUAAUUUAAAAAAACUAAUAAAAAAUUAUAACAAAUUAAAAUUUAAGGACUAAAGUAUAACAAUCCUCGUAGUUUGAACACCAGCUCGAUUUUACCACUCUAUGGUUUAUAAAAUGCACCGCUUCACUUCUUUAUCUAAGAACAGGUUCUUACAAAGAAUUUAAACAAAACGUGCAGGGGCUAAAAUGCUACAGUUUAAACCAAACUUAGAUUUCUCAAUUUCCAGUUGGAAUGUGUAGAGAUUUUUAGGUUCCAAAUAGCCAAAUUUUUGAAGAACAGAUCAAGAGAGAGAGACAAGAGGAUACAACACAUCAGAAACAAGCAUUUCUCCAGAAUUAAAGUAAUAGCCCUGGGAUGAACAUAACAAACUCUAUUUGCUUUCACAUUAAUCACCAACAUAAUAAAAGAACAGUUCCAACACUCCUCUUGCUUCCAACCGAUUUGCCGGAACCGACAUGCUCAUUAUUAUUUUGGAUUAAGAUAUAAUAAGAGAAAAUGGUAUUAUUAUGAACUAUAAACUAUCCAUUAUUUCCAGCAGAGAAAGAAAAAGGGCAAAAAGCUCCUAACUCUCUAAUCCCAUGCCUGCUACAACUUAAUCUUCAAGCAGGAAAAAAAAAUGAGCAGAGAUUGCCGGCUAAAACAUCGAACAACAUAAAGAAGCCGCAAAGACUUCUUUCUCUUUUCGUUUGUUUUUUAGUUUUUCGGUCUCUUUUACAUCUCAUUAUCGAUAAUGUUCUUGAUCAUCUCUGGCGGGACGAGCCCUUCGGUGCGUAUGGCGUCUUUGUUCGGAUCCGGGCUGAUGAAAUACAACGUCGGGAGGCCGCGGACCUGUCAGUUGUAAAGUUGCUUUAGGGUUCGAUACCGUCCUAGAACGACAAAAAAAAAAAAAAAUUGCAGGUUAAUCCAAGAAUAACCAUUUACCUGCAUAUCUCUCGCGAACUCGUAUUCAUCGUCGGUGUCUACCUUGACGAAUAAAGCAUUAUUCUCGUACUCCACGGCGAGCUGCAAGAAAUAUAUAAAAGUCAUCGUGAUGGUUUUCUAUGAUAAACGGGGAUGGCGGUAGGAAAUCAUCCAAUACAUUGUAAAUAGCUGAAACAGGAAGACAAAUGCAAAUAGGACAUAUAAUUUUAAACAAAAUUAAAUUAUUUGCAUAUCAAGACCUAAAAAAGUGCUCCUUUGUGUUUAAUUAGGUUAAUUUUUGUUUUACCCUCAAAGCAUUUGUACUCAAAGUAGUUCCUAAGCUUUGCAUUUGAUGUAAUUUCAGGUAGCUGGCGUGUUAAGAUCAAUUAGCCUGAAGAAAUAGGAAUAGGAUUGAUUGAAUCUGGCUAGUAAUAUGAGAAAAAGCCUGCAGCGGAGUUUGAUUUGCAGAAAGGUGAGAUUACUGGAAGACAGAAUGAAUCAGAAGAGAGGACAUAACACGGAAAACACACAAAAAUGCGCCACUUCACAUAUAAAAAACCUUUAAAAUGUUUAAUGCUAAGAGGCUCGCAAUUUUCAUAUAAAGAUCUUAAAAACUUCAAUUAGAGCAACUCAAAAUAGAAUAACAUUGCUCGAAAUCAAAUGCAAAGGAACAUAUAUGCAAAGUAGACCCUCCUUUAAUUAAACCAAGCAACCAACGUAAACUUCUACAGCUUCAAUAUCACUUAUACUACCACUAACUAUUUCCGUUGGCAAUUCACCGCAUAUUUAGCGUAACAAGAAACUUCAAUUACACAAGUACAUGAAUCAAUUAUAGAAGUAAGAAAGGAAAAAUCCGAAAUCACCAGAACCAACAAAAGGUAAGGUUUAAGGAAAAACUUCAAAAUGCCUCCCCAUGAUAUGGCGUAUUUGCAGUUCACCACUCUAAGUUCAAAGUGUAUAGCACAUUGCUCUCCUAUGGUUUUCGUUUUAGUUUUCAAUCAACUAUUUCAAAUAUCACAAAUCACAUGACUGUAAAAAAUUUACCACCACGUGUUUUGUACUUUACCAUCCUAAGAUUUUGGGUAAACUUUAAUUUGCCCCCUUAUGGUUUAGUGCAUUUUCACUGUACCACCCGGUGGUUCGAAAGUUACACUUACCUAUUUGUGCCCAUUAUAAAGUAAUAUAAAAAAGCGUACAAACUAAAGGAUGGUAAAAACGCAAUUCUUAGGGUUGCAAAAAAUAUUACUUUGCUAUCCUAUUUAAUGGUAAAUCUUUACAGUAAGAUAAUAUGGAUUUUACCUGAACUAUGGGCCAUAUUGAUUUGGCUAUCCAACCUAUCAAAAAUUUGAUUUUACUAUCCAACCUUUCGAUGUGUUUGAUUCGAGUUGGUCAAUGACAUUUUGAUUUUAAAAUUUGAAUGCACCAUUUAUCUUUGCAGGUUUAGUUAGUAUAUUUCAUGCAAUUCUCGCAACUAUAAAUUCACUAUAGCAAUUAGUUUAAAUUUUAAAGUUAAAAUGCCGUUGGCUGACUCAAAUCACAAAUCAAAUAAAUUGUGAAAGGUUGGAUAGUAAAAUUAAAAGUUUGAAAGAUCAGGUAGUAAAAUCAAGAUGGUCCUCAGGUAAGUUUCGUAUAAUAUUUUUACUAAAAAUAAAAUCAUAGAAUAAUUAACUCGCGCAUUCUAAUGCGAGUUAGGGCUAAUGAGCUAACAAAAGAAGGAGAAGAAGAAGAAGAAGAUGAAGAGGGGAUGAAAGAGAAAACCAUUUCGAGCUCCUGGGCCAUGAGAACACAGGGCCCGCACCACGUGGCGUAGAAAUCCACCACAAGGGGAACGCUCCUCUCCCCCUUGAUCAUCUCCUGCACCUCCUUCGCCGACACCUUCCUCUGCUUCCCCCCCCCAACAGAAGCGGAACGCACCCAAACCCAAACAAACACUUAGAAGAAUAACCUACGAAUCCCAGGCAAAUCUAUAUGUAUAUAUACACCCAAAAAAAAAGAAAAAAACCGAGAAAUGGGUGUUGCGCCAUUUACCACGAGAUAAUCCUCCCUGAUGUACUUCCCCGGUGGGGACGACGCGGCGGAGAAGCUCCUUGCCAUGCCCCUGCUUCUGCUUCUGCUUCUGCUGCUGCUUCUGCUGCUGUUGUUGGAGAAGCGCUUCUGAGUGGAGGGGAGGGAGAGGAGUGAUUUGGUGUGCUUCUGAGCGAAGCGGAGGAGUGGGGAGUGGGGAAUCGCGGGAGAGGCGAAGGUGGUCGCCAUUUCCCGGAGAGGGAGCGAGCGAGUGAGAGAGAAACAGGGGAGGUUUUUUUGAAGGGUUUUGCGUUAUCUCUUCUUCGGGUUCGUCGUUCCAUUUGAGUUUGUGCCGAGGCGUAGAGGCGAAUUAUUAAAGUGAACCCGGUGUAUCCCAACAUCGAGUGCACUCUCUCUGUCUAGUAGGCUAGUACCCGUCCAUCCUUCAUCGUCUGGUAAUCUGCACCGUCAACUGGUUACGAAAUGUACGGUUCGAUUCGUACGGAUGAGCCCGGUGCAGGGAAAUGACCGGUUACCCAAAUUGGGCCGGGCUUAAAUUUGCCCAUUUGAGCCGGCCCUUUUUGUUUAACUAAUAUAUUUUUUUGGUUGAUCUUAAGUUCGUUUUGAAAAUUUUCGAAUUUGUAACCAUUUUGAGCCCGCGAGAAACUUAGUAAAAGUAUUAAAUCUUUUGUACCGUUUGGUCCCAUUUACCAUCCACUUUUUUUUAAAAAAAAUGCUGCAGCAGCGCCUAAAAUAGGCAGAAUACUUUGAUCCAUAAUAGAGCGAGGGAUUUGUUUGAGUAAAAUUUUUUGUACUAAUAACAUAAUAAGAUGUUUUACUCAACAAAGAAAUAGCCUUCGAUAUUACUAUUGUAUCCGAAAUUUUAUUCAGUUUUAAAAUAUUUGAAAUCAAAAACUGCAGACAAAUUUGGCUAAACUGAAACUGUUAAUGAAGCCGCCGGAUUCGCCAGAAAAUCUUACCAAAACUUCCAAGUGCGAAUUUGACUGAACUGAAACAGUUCACUAAACAUAAAGAUUCAUGCACAAAACUUCAAAACAAUAAACUCCAUGGUAUAAUAGAUUAAAGCUCGUCAGCACUCCGGCCUUCCAUCAAAUCCGAUUGAACUUGAGCAGAGCAAACAAAACAAAAACACUCGACGAAUCUGAUUGUUACCCGAAUCACAUGAACAGGUUCGGCCUCGACGCCUUGUAGGUGGUCUUGAGCUUCCUCGUGGGCGGCCUCACCUUCCUGAACACGAGAGGGAACUUGAUCUUGGAGUCGUGGAACUGCUUCGUGCUCUCUCUCUUGCAAAGCUUGGCGGGUACGGUGGCGGUCUUGAUGAUUUGAAUGCAGUGGAACCUCACGCGGUGGCGAGAAGCCAUCUCGUUGUACAUUUGCUCCACGGCGCCGUUGAGGGUGGUGUCGCGGUAUUCCUUGUACAUGUUGUGGUAGCCUGUCCGACUCUGGUAGCGGAGCCAGAUGCCGUAGUUCUUGAUCUUGGUCGGCUUCCGCUCAAAAAUCUGGAAAAGCCAAUUUAUGUUAAAAGGGGCGGAAGACUGAAGCAAGCUUAUUUGAGCUGAUACAGCAGUCCGCAAUUGCUAGCUCUACCUAACAUUCAUUGAUAUCAACUUUAGGAAAUUCUGUAUAAUUUAACAGCACCAUCCAAAAAAGGUAUAGACUAUCUUCAUCAAGAAACAAAAUAUAUCAUUAGGUUAUAGGACAUUCUGGUAAGAAAGCUAAAAAGACCAAGUUCUACAAAGAGGUAUUUAAACUAAUUGAACAGCUAGGUAAUUUUGAUAUUAUUAUUUUUUUUAGUAAGGUCCACGUACGUUUACCAUCGUGUAAUAUGUUAGAAAGCAGUUUAGAUCAAUAGUUUUCUAUACAUGUUAAUGAGCAAUGAGAAAUCGAACUUAAAAAGAAAUACACAAAAUUUAACUAUUAGUUGAUUUUAAUGACAAAUAUAUAAAAAUUACACGCUACAUUAAUGUCUUCUUCAAGCAGCUCUUCAUUUCUGGGCACUCAUAGCUAUUUGUCAUGUAAUCUUCUAAUCUAUGGUUGAGUUCCCAAGGAUCACGAGCACAAUCUCACAUCAAUCGAAAUAGUGAAACAAUAAAUAUUGAACUUGAGCAUGCUAACGGCCUGACAUUGCACAGCCUGACAUAGCAUUAUCUCAUCAUGUAAUUCCAGGAGCAUUUAGGAUGGAUUUGGCCAACUCUCAAAAUGUAUAAAGUAAAUAAGCAACCCAAUUUUAACCAAUAUUAUGUAGCAAAUUCGUAGGGAGGCACUCUUCUGCCACUAAAGAUGAUUUGUGCCUCACAGUUGGUUCUUUCAUGAUUACAGCCAAAGGGUUUUUUUUUUCAGCUAUUCUGAAAUUUUUAUAAUUCUGAUUCUUCAAAGAACAGAAGUCCACUUGUGAGCUGAUUAAUCAUAUUUCGAAAAUCAUGAUCUCGAGGGUGCAUAUAUUGUGCAAUUGUAAGCAUUCUCCUACAUUCUCCAUCAAACAAUUAAUCAAAUGGCACUACAUGCUGCUACAUGCUGAACAAGAAACCCAUGCAUCAAAACAGUUCAUAAUAAAGAGAACAUAUACAAUAAAGUAACUCAAAUCCAUGGCUUCAAUGUAAUGUACUAAUUGGUACACAUUGAUAUUUAAGUCCUAACUUCCAUUAGUGGAUAAAGAAAACUAUCUAAUAAAAGAAAGAAGAUAAAAGUUACCGAUAUCUAGAACUUCUAGCCUGUUAGACCAACUAGAACACUCUUGAACCUCACGAGUGUCUAUAUAGAGACAAAAUAAGGACUUUAGGGAACCAACUCUUCCUAAAUUGAUUGACUGUCAUUGUUCAUUGACCAAUCAUUCGAGCCUGAGUUACCAGCAACUCACUAUGUCUGUCCGAGCAAGAAACCUAUCAACCUAUAGAUCCAUUCUGUAAUUACAUCUACCUCUCUCUCUCUCUCUCAACCAGGAAGGAAUUGUUAAAAAUAAUACAAAAAACCAAAGUAAAAGAGCAAUAAAAAAGACUAAAAAUCCUUAAAAUAGUUCAAUUAGAAUUUUUUUCCUAGAGGCGGCACACUAAAUGAAACAUCCAGCGGAAAAACUUAGUUAACUCCUACAACUAUCAGAAACAAAUAGAUGUGCCGAACUGAGAGACCAAAGUGCACAGCCAGUACAUUGCUCACGCUCAAUGAGGACACCGGCUUGCUGACAGAAAAGGAAACGCUAGAGAUGGCUUGCUCACGAUACUCUUCUUGUGGGAACCUAAGAAUCAACAUCAUGAAUACCUCUAGCUGGAGUAGUUACAUUAAAUGAACUGUUUUAAAAGCAAUAUUUCCUCUCUCUUUAACCACAUUAUGAUGGCUGAUACCAGGAGCAUCUCUGUACAUUGCGCAAUAAUCGAUCUAAAACUUUGGAUUGAUCUCUGCGUAACCAUGUGAUGACACUUUCAACCUAAAUUGCUAUUGUAAGUGUCAGCAAACAUGUCCUAAAUCGCAACAUGCUCGAUUUUUAAGCUAAAAGAUGGAAUAAAAUAGAUUGAACUAGAAGGAAAAAAAAUGAAAUUUGAUAAGCUAAUUAAAAGAAAUCGAAAGAGAGGAAAGGCACCUCAUUGAUCGCCAAAACUUGUCCAUUGCUCUUCUUCACUUUCUUAAGCUUCCUCAAGAAGUACCUACAACAAAUAACGUUAUACAUUUGAGAAUAAUCUCUUCAAAAACCAUGGUAAAUUCCAAAAAAGAUAAAACUCUCUGGGAACCGUACCAGAACUUGGAUUUGGCGCGGACCUCGUUGGUCGCCCAAAGCUUCAUCCGGUAGAUUUUCGGGUGUUCAUCCCCCGACGACGGGAGCGCUCUCCCUACGACCUGAUACUGAUGAAACUGCGCCAAAAACCACAAAAAAUCCCCCAUCGAGAUAGUUAGAUCCAUGAGAUUUAGAUCGACGAAACGAAAAGAAAGAGGAAAUGGUGGAAUCGAUGGAAGCGAUGGAAACCCCUAGAAUCGGUGAAGUGGAAAGGAGAGAGAGAGAGAGGAAGGGGGAGCACUCACCCUGAACGCCCCCAUAUCGAGAUCGCGAAACCCUAGCGAUCGCCUUCUUCGUCGUCUUCUUCGUCGACGUCUCCUCCUACGCUCGCGGAUGAGGCGGGGCGGCGGAGUAUUUAUAUGGCGUUCGGGGUUAGAAAGGAUUGGGCAAAACCCUAAUGGGCCUUUAGUGGCCCCUUAAUGGGCCUAAACGGUCUACGAGCUUUUAAAAUGCCUAGUGUUUUUUCCAAAAAAAAAAAAAAAAAAAAAUCAAAUCAAAAGAAAUAAUCGUAACCAAAGACUAAAUUUGGUUCGAUCAUUUUUUUUGGAACUAAUAUAUAUCAAACUACUUAAGAUCAUGUACAAAUAUAAUUAAUGUUAUCAUGAUUUUUUUUUGGGAAAACUUCAAAAAACCGCCGUGUGGUUUUGUACUUUUUCAUUUUCGUACCAUGUGGUUUAAAGUGUAUCAAGUUAGUACCAUGUGGUUUCGCGCUUUCUCACUUUAGUAUUCUGUGGUUUAAAGUGUAUCAAGUUAGUAUUCUGUGAUUUUAUUUUUGUAUCAAGUUAGUACUCUGUGGUUUUAUUUUUGUAUCAAGUUAGUACCCUGUGGUUUUUAAACCACAUAGUACAAAAGUGAGAAAGUGCGAAACCACAAGGUACUAAAGUAAGAAAGUGCGAAACCACAAGGUACUAACUUGAUACACUUUGAACCACAGAAUACUAAAGUGAAAAAGUGCAAAACCAUAUAGGAUUAUUUAAACCACCGGAUACUAAAGUAAGAAAAAGUGAAACCACAAGAGAAGUAUUUAAAAUUUUUCCUUUUACUUUUUAAGCUCAAACUACUAAAAUUUUUGUUUCUUUAGUUCAAUAAUCCGGUCCAGUUUACUUCGAAGGGAUAAUUUGAAAAGCAGGUGUUUUUUAAGCUUGGCUUCGUUUAAAAUUACCAUGAGAUUACAUUAUCUGUAGAAAACACAAACAUAUUCCUACAUACUUUCACCAGAACUUUCUUUUAUCAGUACCAAAUAGGUGCUAAAUAAGCUCAAUAUGUCAUAUAGACAUAUUUUUCCAAAUAAAUAAGCUUAAUAUACUGUAUUAGCAUAUUUAUGCUUCUUUCAAAGUUUGAAAUGCGCCGAAAAGGCGCACAGAAUAUGCAGUAAUCCUUACCACAUUACAACAGAAGAAUUAUUCUACAUUUUCAACAAAAUGUUUCAACUUGUAUCUAUACAGUUUCAUGGAAAGCAGGUUUAAAUUUUUCACAACGAAGGGGUAGAAGAGUUACAGGGCUGUAAUAGGAAGGGAACAGCAUAAUCUAUCAUCGCUAUUUACAAAAAUCGAACGGAAUUGCUCGCCAUCGCAACGGAGAAAUGAUAAUAAUUACUCUAAACACCCUCGACCCUCCCUGCUAUCUAUCGAUAAAGCCGAUACUUUGCAAAUCGGGCACAGGUUCUUUAACAGCAGCCAUUGUUUGAUGCAGGUGCGGUGGUACUUGUGGCCGCAGUUGAGGGUUGCUAUGGUUUCUCUCUCCUUGUACUCCACCUGACAAAAGAACAAGAUAAAAAAAAAAUUAUUUACCGAUCGAAGUAGGAAUCGAUUUGCCAAGUUGGAAAAUAACAGAGUACUGAUUUGCAAACAUGAGUUUUUUAAAAAAAAUUCCUUUUCUUUUCUCAUUCAUGCUAAUAGAGAGAAUCACUUGAAGGUGUUGUCUUUGGAAGCUGAAACUGGAUAGAGGAUAACUGAAGCAAGGUGGAGCUUCUGCAAAACUGUUACUAGAUUAGAGCUGAUAAAAAAGUACCAAACAGUUUCCUAGUAAACCCUCCUAGGGGCUCCUGCCGCAGGAGAAACAGAAGCCUCCAAAUUGGAGCUUAAAUUUACCCUCCAGAAUCAUCUCAAUCACUAUUGUUUUUCUUUAAACAAAAUUUCUAAACGAUGGAAUGCGCCAGUAGAUGACAGAUCGCUCGCAACAAGAAACAGAAACUAGUAACUUUUUUUUGCUUUUUUUUAAAAAAGAAAAAGAAGAAGACACUAUUCCACAUAUGACCUGCAUGCAACACAACCUAACCAGCAAUGUCCAAAUAGAUUUGUGUUUGAAAAAACAAAAAAAAAAAGGCAAUGAAACCAAACAAGGCCUAAGGCUUAUUAAUAAUAACUUGCAAGAAAAAUAUAUGUACACCAGAGGCGUUCAUGGGCAGUAAGAAUAAAACAGACCUGGCAUAUAACACAAGCUUCAUUCUCUCGAUCAGAUUUGGACUCUUUAUCCGAGAGUGAUGGUUUCAACCAUGGAAUGUAUUUACUAGUCCUUAAGUUCUUCAAGAUGAAUUCCUCUGUCAAGCCAGUAUUGACGUCUCCUAUUUGUUCUUCCAAAGCUAGAAGCUCCUGUAAUUGAUAUUCAAUGGUUUCUUUAGGUUCAAACAGAUUCUAAGAGUGAAAAACUACGAUUAUUAUAUAUACAACAAUCUAUUAGUUCAUGUGAUUAAUUGCAAAUAAAGCAUGCUAAGGGAGCUAAGAAACAAAUUGAAGAACCAACAAGUAUGAAUUUCCUUUACCUCGUAAGUCAUGCUGUCUAUAUCCAAUCGCAUGUCUCUGUGCUCAUCAACUCCAGAGAACUCCGCAAAAGCAGCAUGCUACAUAGAAAAGAAGAUCACUUUGCAAUGUUUUUUAUAUUUCAGCAAAAUUAGAGAGUUUUAUUUCCAAAUAUUUCAAUAUACACAUGUACUCAGAAACCAACUUAGAGCUUUCAAAAUUAAAUGUGGCUUUUCCAGCUAGUGCCAAGCAAGUAUAGAGACAGAAUUAAACUACAAUAAGAUUGGAAUAUAUGUCAUACAACUAUACAAGAAAUUUUCUUGUUAGAGAUGCACUAUUAUUCAAAAAAUUGGCAACAUUUCUUGCUGCCAUGGACCAGAAAUUGCCUGUUCCAAGAUUAGUUCACAAAUAUAAAAGACAUGUUAUGAAACAUAUGAACCGAUUGCAGCACAUUUCAAUUUAUGACAUUUAUAGCAUGCAAAACCUUAUGCAUGAUAAUGAUUCAUCUGAAAAGGGGAUAUUUUAAUUUGAGAGAUGUGAUUGUUAAAUGAUCUAUUCAAAUCUCGUGUGCUUUGUGGAUUAAAUAAUCGUCAAAAAUGACCUACACCUCCCAUUUCAAGGUUACAUUUUAUACAGUAUUAUAUAUAUAUAUAUAUAUAUAUAUAUAUAUAUAUAUAUAUAUAUAUAUAUAUAUAUAUAUACAUAUAUCCCGGCAAAACCAUCUAUUUACAUAUAUAGUUCUACAACAUCUGAACUUCAGUAUGUGUACCCUUGAUAGUGCAGCUCCUACAUGAGGAAAAGCUGGUUUGGUACAGAAAAGGUGCUCUGAAGAGGGAGAUUUUCACAAAUACAAGGCUAUACAUCAGAGUUUGCUGGGACAUAUACAGAAAUAAAUCUUUGCAGAGGUAAAUAUCUAAUUAUUUCAUGUCAUAUAGAAAGAAUGUUAUGCAAAGCAUAAGCCACUAAAUGCUGCAUGCAUGAAAGAAUAUAAAACAGAGUGAAAAAGAAUUCACCUCUGAUGGCACCAUCCUCACACUUCCACGGUUGAAUUCAGCAUUUCCCUGAAUUAGAUGCCAAGGAUUUCUAUAAAUAUGUUCAGCAUUGGAUGGAAAAGGUGGGAAUCUGUGACCUAAAUGAGGACCACUAUUCGAAGGAUUUAAACCUCCGAUGAGCAAGUUAUGGAAAGGGUGCUGGUAAUUGGCAGGCAUAUCAGUAUGAUGGACAAGACCAUGAGGUUGCAUACUUUGUAGAGGUGGCUGAUUUUGAUGAAAAUAAGGUAUUGAUCCAUGAUGUAGGCUACCUGGCGAAAGAAAAAGGAAUCAAGUUAUAAUUCCAAACUUCAUAUUUAAGGAAGCAUUUUUGGCAACUAGCAAAAUAUCUAAUUUUGAGAGGUCUAGGUAAGACUCUUAUGUGCUCCAAGUUAACCAAAAUUAAAGUUGUAGGGACACCCCCAUAAGUAUCACGAUUUUCACAUUGUGUCUCAGAAAUAUCGACCUACAUUUUAACCCCCUUAAACUGCAAGUGUUCAUUCAUCACUUACAUCAUUCCUUGAUGUCCCACUAGACUAUUUCUAUCACUCACUUAUAGGUCAACGGGGGUAGAAUUGGGGUUUUUUAAAUUUCAGGGGCUACGUGAAAAUCAUGACAUUUAUAGGAUGGUUUCCUGCAAUUUACCAAUAAUAAAUCAAAUGUUUUCUCACACAAAAAUAAAAGGUAAAAAGCCAGCACCAUUUAGGUAUAGGUAAAUUAUCUAUUUUUCCAUUUAUAUUAUACAACAUAGAAAGAAAAAUAAAGAUAUCCAAAGAAAUAUGACAUGCUUACCAUGCACAUCACUGGUUCCAUUAACGUAAUUCCAAUGCAUUCCUCCAUGAGACAUAGUGUUCCCAUUCUGAGCCACCCAUGUAUUAGUCGAAGGCUGGAAUGACUGCCCCCCGUAAUUUGCUGGAGACAAGUAGUUAUUAUGAUGCACAAUAGGAAGGUCCCUCACAGUUCUAGAAUAUUCCUCAGGGGGUUGUAUAUUUUCACCUCCUCGAUAUUCUAAUGGGGUAAAAGUUGCAGCAUUUGGUGAAGGAACAUCAGAUUCGUAAGAGGAUGAACUUGAGCUCGGAAAUCCAUUAAAAGCACAAUAGUUUCCUGGAAAAGAUUCCAUGAUUUUCCUCUUGCUAGAUUCUCUUGCACUUUCCACCAAAUUACCGUUUCUUCCAAACCCAUCCAUAUUAGCAGCAACAAUAGCUUGGUGCUCAAUGGGAGAUGGUAUAGCGAAAACUCUGCUCGAAGAUGAGGGCCCAAUGUGAGGGUUGUAGAAGUUGGAAGUCAGAGAAGAACCCACAUCUAGAUUUGGAAUUGGGUGGCAAUUCGGAAUAUAAUUAUACUGGUUGCCAGGAUACAUAGUUCUAUUGUGAUAACUUCGGUAAUGUUGGAUUUCAAUAUUCGAAGCAUUGCUUGCUGAUAUGGAAAGUGGUGCGCUUCUGUUCGGGAAAUCAAUAGGGUUUCCUUGCGUGUGGCCUUCCUCAGGUUCAAGUCCAGAAAUUUGAUGAGUGCAGAUAAUGUUUCUGUAUGCCAUAUGUUAAAAUACUGCUCUUUGGACACCAGAGAUUAGUUGUGAAGACUGCUCAAACUCUGUGAUAAUAGUUGAUUGUCAUCUCUGAGAUCUCUGCAUACAAAAUAAGUAAACAAGGAGUUAGAAAAACUUUUAUUUUACAAGAUACAACAAGUUAGAUGGAUUUUGAGUUAUGGUUGGAUGAUGGGAUGCUUGAAUGACUAUCAUUUCUGGGAUGAAAACUUGGUUGAACUUCUUUCUGACACUAGAGGAGAAGAUAAUUCAUAUGUGGAGAUUGUUUAGUUCUUAAAGGACCUAAGUACAAAAAUUGGAGUUAGAUAUGUGCUUAAGAAAAAAGAGAAAAAAGCAAAACAGAAAGGUGCAACAAAAUUAGGUGCCAAAGUUUCAUCGAAUCAGGCAAAAGAAAUAAAAGAUUAUUAAAAGAAAAAAAAAUAAUCAAGAAGACUUCAGCACAGUUGUGAUUGCUUUUCUAGGCUUUUGGAAAAGGAAACACAUGGAAAUAAUUUCUGGGGUAGGAAAUUAAGAAAAUGAAAUAGGAAACAUAUCAAGACACAAAUGGCGAAAAAGGGUAGAGGAAAACUUCGAAAAUCUCCCCCUUGGCUUAGUGGAAAACUUAAAAAAUCUCCCUAGUGGCUUAGCACAUUGAAAUUGUACUACUUUGUUGUUUCGAAAGUAGCACUCCACUACUCUGUGGUCCGUAUUCCCUUUCACAAUAAGAAUUAGCACAUGAGCACCAAGGUGCCUCUAUUUAAAACCCACAAACCCUUCAAUCUAACUACGUAAAAACUCCGUAGACUCUACUAAUUCCUCCCCUACGUGAAGUACUAACUUUCCAAUCAUAGAUCAAAGGAAAGGUUAACUCGUACUUUCCAUAAUUAGACAAAUGUUUAUCAUGGCAUUACUACAAUUAAUACUUACCUUAACAUCACUAACAUAUUAGUAACUAUAACAUUUAGGUUUAUGUCUUCCAAAGGAUUCAAUGGAGCGUAAGUAUGAUACUUACUAGAAGUAAACCUAGUACAGCAAGUUGAGUAAUUACUUUGAGAAAGUUAACUUAUCAACUUUCGAAAUGGACUUACCUAUUUACUACUGAUAGUUUGUACAACUAUAUCAAUAUCCUUGUAGCGCAUAAUUUAACUAAUAUUCCAUAUAUCUUAUAUUUCCCUAAGCACAAGAUAAAGAACUCAUAAGUGGCACGACAAAUGAUUUCUCGGUAGCUGACUUGAUUACAUCCACGAAUUCAGGCUUCACCGAGGAUGAUGAUCUAACAAGGAAGUCGUCGACAUUAGAUACGGCAGCCAGCUUCCACAAUUUUCUCCAUUUAUAGAGCCUCCGUAAAUGAUCAUCAUCGAUUGUACAACCUAUUAGCUUACAUGUUCCUAGAGGCACCCUACUAUCAUUUAAUGUGCUUCAUUAACAUCAGUUGAAGUGGCAACUUUGUUAGUUUCAAUCAUCCAAUAAAAAAACACUAUUUUCCCAACUCGGGGUGUGAUUUGCAAUUGCUUAUAAUUAUGCUUCAAGUAUAGUUUUUUUUUUUUUUUUACUAUGUUGCUCAAAAUUUCAACUAACAUGCAUAGUAUUCUAGAGAGUACAAAGUCAAAUUUUCUACCUAUAAAUUCAUUCUAUUCAAUGAAUAAUAUGCACCUUUCAGAGUGUCCUAAAAUAACCCAAUGAAAAAUCAAGAUCUAGCAAUAUCACAGCGCUAACUUCACCGGUGAAAUCGCCUACUUCCUUCCAAUAAUCCUACACAGCAACUUGAAAAAUCAAAAAACAAUAGGCUCUUUACUAAAGGUAGAUAUACAAACGGCAAGCUGAGAACAACUUUGAUAUUUGACAGAAUUUGCACAGUUUUCAAGACGCCAAUGACUUAGCUGACUUCUUGAUUAAAUCAAUUGCAUAUCCAGUUUUCGCACACAAAAAACCUACGCUCCGUUGUUGCUUCACAAAGACUAAGGUCCUGUUUGGCGCAUGAACAUCUUGUUCAGCACCUUUCUUUCAUUUAUUCAAGAAGCUAAUAGUAUUUGGUAGAUGAGAAGUAUGAUCAAAUGUGUAGAAAAGCAUACUAUAUUUGGCCUCCAAGUCAUUGUUAUCUAAAAUAAAAUAAAUGACCUCAUAGGUAAAGUACACCAUCUUACUAUAUUAUGGAUAUCAAGACCUUCCAAAGAGCUAAAAUCAAAUUCCUAUCUUGCAAUCACACAAGAAGCUCUUUCUAGUGUAUUAGCUAUCCUAAAUAACUUGUUCAAACAUCCAAAUAGGGCUGAAAACCUCGUACAAAGUUGAAAAGGAGGCUUCAACUUCCACGUUGAUUAAGCUUUUAGGGCUUGUUUGGUAAUAAGGAUAAAGGUCUUUUGUGUACGAGGUGGAAAUGCAAUGGAAGUAAUCAAGAGGUCAACCAAGUCAUUGGCAUCGUGAAAAAUGCAAGUUCUACCAAAUACUGAAGUUGUUAUUAGCCCUCAAUUUAUAAAUAUUCCUUUAGUAAAAAGCAUAAUGCGUCCUGAUUUUCAAGUUGUUGUGCAGAGUUGUUGAAAGAAAAUAGAAGGUUUCAUUGGUGAAGUGAGCUCGAAGAUGCUGCUAGAUCUUGAUUUUCAUCGAGUCAUUCUAGGACACUUUGAAAGGUGUAUAUUAUUCGACAAAUCAACUGACAUUGUAGGAAGAAAAUUUGGUUUUGCAUGUUUGAAAGGACUUAAUGUUAUUGCAUGCUUUGGAAAAAAUCUUAAACAAUAUAGCAAAGAAAAUACUAUAAGUAAACUUGAAGCACAAUAUAUCACAUCUCGAGCUGAAAAAAGUAUUAUUAUUAUUAUUACCUAUGAACCGUUUUGGACCAUUGGAACUAGCAAAUUGCCACUCCAACUGAUAUUAAGAGUAGCUCACGAACAUGUAAGCGAACAAAUUGAACAAUCGAUGAGAAUCGUCAAAAAAGGUUCUGUAGAUGGAGGAAAUUUCAGAGAGUUGGCUACCCUACCUAAUGUCAAGGUUUUCUUGUCGAAUCAUAAUUCUUCGUGGAGUUUGAAUUCAUGAAUAUAAUCAAGUCAAUCACGCGAAGUAAUUCAAGACGAGUAACUUGAAAUAGUUUUCUUGUCGAAUCUGUUGUGAUGCUUGAGAGUUCUACGCCAUCAUCUUCUGCUUAGGGAAUAUAAAAUAUAUGAAACAUUGUGUUUUCUUUUUCUAAGCACUAUUGAGAUAUUGUUAUAAUUAUAUUUGUAGAAUUAUACAAUUGUACGUAUAUAUCUAUGCAUGAAUAAACACAAAAAAGACAUAUAGAUAAAACAAAUAGAGAGAGAUCACUCUAGACGAAUAAACUUCCAAUAACUUGGUCCUAUUUGACAUACCAAAGCUGCAAGAAAGCUACAAUCCAGAGUAUAUCUUUUCCUUUUUAAAAAGGAAAUAAUAACUUGCACAAAAAUAGCGUUUCUUUCCACUCUUAGAAAUUAGUACAUGGUCCUCACAGCACAUUCGCAUCAAUGAUAGUAAUACUCGGCACUAAAUCAUCAACUAGAAGAACAAUUUGUUGUUAGCUGAUUGACUGUGGUCCAUGUUCAUGAUAGCAUUAGCAUGUAGCGGAUAUAAAAUGAGGAGCUAACCUAUUUCACGUGAAUGUGAAUUUCCCUUACUCUGACGUUCAACCAUUCGAAGGUGUGGAAUGAACUAAGCCUCUCCACUUUAUGUUAUUUUUAUCUAGAAUAAGCUGAAGCAUAGCUAUAAACAUAAUAGAUUGUCAUAUCUCAAAUGUGGCAUUUGCAGGAAUGUAGAAAAGCUCAUUCAAAGCAAUUAUAUUAGUAAUGACAUUAGUGUAAACUAAAAUUCCAUUUGUCUACAAUCUUUAGAGACAUCUGUAUUUUAAUAAAUUAGUUUCAUGCUAAACACAUCAGCUACUACAAGCUAGUAGCUGUAAUGGCCCUUAAACAUUACUAGCCAAGGAGAAGAUGAAAGCAUAGCACUUAGCACAGAACAAAAAACAUAUAUAUAUAUAUAUAUAUAUAUAUAUAUAUAUAUAUAUAUAUAUAUAUAUAUAUAUAUAUAUAUAUAUAUAUAUAUAUAUAAGAUAAUAAGAAUGAAAAAAGAUAAGCAACGAAAUCCAUUGACAUAGUCAAAUAGAUAAUUACUGAGAAGAAAAGAGAAUAAUCUUGGGCACUACAGUAAAGUCUAAGAACAUAAAAGGAAUAAAUUGUGUUGGCCUGAUAGGCAUGAAACACACACCCACGAGUAUUGUUCAAGUAGGAGGUUCAUGAUAAAGGGAUGAGAGGGGAGUAAUAUGUGACAAAAGGUUAUAAAUAAGAUUAACAGGAGCAAAUAAGAUGGAACAAAAAAUUACUAGAUAGUGGUAAGAACAGAUUUGAAUCAAACAUCUAAACUAAGAUGUGCAAUGAAAGCAAACUUUGUUUUUAGGAACAUAGUGACUUGAGCAUGCCUGACUAAAACAACCAUAAGUUUAGUCCUUCAGAAUGCUAAACCAUUUCAGUGACUUCCUAUGCUAGCAGAAUUAGUACUGGAUAAAGUUAAACUUCACCCCCCACGGUAACACCAAGUCGAGCACACUUAUCAUUGUUCAGCUUGUACACCUUGAGAGAAUAAUUUCAAACACAUAUGACCACCUAACUUCAAACUAUACUUACCAUAGUUAUAAUUAUAAACAACAUGAACCAAAAUGGAUAGGUAACAUUUCAGUUAAAUCACUACAACUAUAAAGAGGAAAAUCUAACUAUAUAGAUCUAGGAUUAUUCAUACAUUUAUAAUGGGAUUACAAACUAUCCCUAAUCUAAUACUAAAUAAAACAUAUCCCACAUUCAAAAAUAAGGAGACAUGAUUUGUCACAUCUCUUUGAUUUGAUAGGAAAAUCUUUUCAUCUAACAAUCUAACAGGAAAAAAAAGCCUUAGUUUUGAUGAUCCAGCAGUGCCCAUCCGGUACACAGCAACCAAGAGAUUCAUGGUGCUAAGUGGUUUGUGGCCACAAUCUUUAAAAUUUUAUUGCUAAUUUAUGUUGGAAAUAAUAUGUAUUACUAAUUACUCAAGCUUUUUGCUGUGAAGUUAGUAAAGUCUCUAUUAAAAAAAAGAAAAAAAAUUAAGAACUAUAAUUCACAAAACCCAAUACGUAUAAUCAGAACUAUUAAAGAACACAUGAUUUUAAAUAUCAUACAGAAUAGUAGUAAUAUCGCCCAAAAUAUGGUACUUAAUUCUUUAAUCUAGACACUACUGAAUUCAAACACAUAAUGACAUGGGCAUUAUUCCCUAUCUAAUGAAGUUAUCUCAAAUCCAAGAUUCUUGAGAGUUAUAACAAUGGAGCAGAGUGAGGAGAAAUAUAUAUAAAAUUUCACAAACUUUUUGUUUUAGUAAAAUAAAAUUUCACAAACUUGUGAAGCUAAUACGGCAAGUCAUAGAUCAUUACAAAAAUAUAACACAAACUAACUCAUCACACCAUCUAAUGCAUUGCAGUUUCAAGUUACACCAAUGGAAAAAAAACAAAGAGAAUUUCUUCGUACGGCGAGCGAUAGAUCAUCACCAAGAUGUCUCUCCGUCUAGCGCAUCCAUGCUUGCAUAUCCCAAGAAUAAAAAGCAAACAGAGGAUAUUUGCACAAUGCACCAAACCUACAAAAAUCACUUACUAAGAAAAAGCUUUUCUUUUACAGUCAAAGAAAAAACAAGAAAAAGUUCUUCACUGCUGUUCUCUUAUAGGGUGAUAAUCACAUAAUUUGCUUCAAAAAAAAAAGCAAGAUAUACGAAAUAACUACAUGCAACAGUCGAACUAUCAUAUUAGAUUAAUGCUAAUCCAAUUAAUAGCCCCAUUACCACAUUACCACAGCAACAGCCCCUAAAGAUGAUCAAAUCCAAGCAAAUGCUCCCAAUCAUCCCCUCAUUACCCACCUUUGUCCAAAUCAGAGCAUCCCCAACGCAAUCCAACAACACCACAUCAAACCCCCACACCAAUGCCCUACGAAACGCCCUUUAAAAACCCAAAUUUUCUCAUAAGAAACCAAUUUUUCCACCCCGGCGCACAUGGAAAGAUGCCUUUUCAUCCGCAUAAAGCAAGAGACACACAAAAAGAAGACCAGAUCGCGAUAAAAAAAGAGAAAAAUAAAACCCAAAAAGGGGGCGAAAAUUCCCCAAAAAAUUAUACCGAGAAAUUAACCGAGCGAGGAAAGGAAUCGGAAUUCGUGCUCGGGGAGCUCGGGAUCGCCUCCGAUUGCGCCGCGGAUCUCCGAAAUUGCUUCGAUUCGAGGGUUGGGAGAGGGGAUUUGGGGAUUCGGGAGUAGGAUUUGGGGGAAAAAGGGGGGAUUUUGGCGAGGACGAUGGGGGUGAGAGAGGGGAAUAAAAAGGGGAAAUUUUGCGACACGGGGCCAAUAAGAUAACAUAACCCCCCUUCGCUUCCUAUCACGCGCCGAAACGGACUAGGACAAGUGCCACGUCAUAUGCCACGUCGGACUCAGGUGUACAUGUUGUGCACCGGGUCUUUAGCUCCUGGAAAAGCGUCAUGAAAAAUUAUUUUUUUUAUAAAAUUAUAUUUUUAGAUACAAUUUUGAAAAAAAAUAAAAAUACUAAUUCUUUAUAAAAUUUAAAAUAUAUUCAAAAAUUACAUUUUUUAAGAACCAAACAGAAGAAAAACGGUAGUUUUGCCAAAAAAAAAAUUUCUUUUCUAGGCUAUUUUUUAGAAAACCAUAGUGACUGAAAUAUGAAAAAAAAAAAAAAUACUAUACACUUAUAUCUAUCUAUAUCUAUCUAUACUAUAUAUAAAAGCACGUAUUUUAAAUUUCUAUCUAUCGACAGAUCCAUUUUUUAUCGGAAAAAAAAAUUAAUUUCACUUUUCUUACGUAAAAUAAAUAACGUAAUAAAACAAACUUUUAGUUUUUCUUUUAUCUCUAAAAUAGAAAAAAAAAUAUACUUAUCCAAAAUUUUGCCAACCGAAAGAUCUCUAAUGUGAAUCUGUAUUUUAAUUCGAAAUUUGUUUAAUUUUUUUAUAUCUAAAAUAGGAAAAAAUUUAUCCUUAUCCAAUUUUUUGCUAAAAUAUCUACUGUAAAUCUAUAUUUUAAUUCAAAAUUUAAAAUUAAUUCUAAAUUUUAAAUUUUAAAUUUUGGGAUUAUCAACAUAUUACAACAGAAAUAAUUUAAAAGAUAGAUUGGUUGAUAAAUUUGUAAAUCUUAAUUUUGAAUUAAUAUAAUGUACAAAUUUAUGAUCAAUUUGUAAAAAUUGUCUAAAAUAAAAAUGAACGGUUAUGAUCAAUUUAUUAAAAAAAACUUUUAUACCCAUCUAUAAAUUUAAUUCUACGAAUGGUCAUGAUCAAUUGGUUAAAAAUAUUUAAAAUAAAAAUGAACGGUUAUGAUCAAUCUGUUAAAAAAUAAUACUUCUAUCCGGCUAUUUUAUAUUAAAAAUUAAAUUUGAAUUUAAAUGGUGAAAUAAAUUUAAUUUUUUAUUUUUGAUAUCAAAUCUAUCCAUCUAUUUUAUAUUAAAAUUUAAAUUUGAUAUAUUGUAGAUAUUUUCUAACAAAAUAUUACAUAUAAAUUUACAAAAUAUUUUGUUCUAAAUUUUUGAAUAAAUAUAAUUUAUAAAUUUUUAUUUAUUUGAAAUAAAUUAAAAUAAUUGUUACGUGCGCACGUACGCUCAACUAAUAAUUAGCUAAGUGGAUGUGUAAUGCAUGUGGCAUAUAUUUUAAAAAAGCAUAAUAUAUUUAAAAAUUUUUCUUUUAUUAACAUGUUAUAUUUUUUGUCUGAAUUAUAAGAUAUAUAAUUUAAGCUUUUAUAACUUGAUGUAAAUAUCCAGUUGAUUUCUACACUUUUUUGUAUGUAGAUUUAGUUUGGUAUUGACAUUUAUUUGACGCUAUUAAAUAAAAUAAAUUUAGUGUAAAAGUAUAUAGGGAUAUACUUUUGCGUUUUCCGGUGGAACCCCGUAAAAAAUAUAUCAUAACCGACUCAUCAUAAUAUGCGAAACACUGUAUUGCGUAUGAAAAUAAAUAUAAUAUAUUUCUAACAUACUUUUUCACUGCAUGUAAUGUAAUUUCAAAUGAAGCCUUACUAUAAGAUAAGUAUAUCGGGUGCUAACAAUAAUUUCUCAAUUAAAAUAAAUUUGAGAAGAUAAAGAUAAACUAAUUUCUAUACCCAGUGCAUAUUUACAUAUCAUACAAGACUUUUUGAAUUAUAGCUGAAUUAUAAAAUUAAAAUAUGUUUUGGGAGAUAUGAUAUGAAAUAUAAUGGAGCAUAAUUAAAAAUAUUUUUGGAAUAUAAAUUAAAAAAUAUUUUAUCUAUCAUCCAUCUAAUUGAUGUAAUGGUUAAAAUUAAAAUAGAGAAUUUAAAAGUUAGAGGACCAAAUAUGCAAUGUUCUAACUUUGUGGGGACAUAUAUGCAAUUAUCCUAAUCAUAAAAGUGAAAAACGUUCCCUCCCUCUGCGAACGGAGCCCUUCACCUUCUCCUCUUCGACGAGAACGCUUCGGAUGGGCGACGGCGCAACGGCGACGAUAAACCCUAACCCUAACCCUAAUGCCAAGCCGAGGCCCUCCUCGACCGUAAACCCUAACUGGGAGAAGCUCCAAUCGCAGCUCAAAUCGCGGCGCCGGGCCCGUCAUCCCAAACCCUUCUCCGACCCCGACGCCAAAACCCUAGCCCCCAGGAUCCUAGGGAAGCGCAAUGAGAGGCCGGAGGACGAUUCGUCGUCUCCUCCUCCGGCGAUCGUCCUCGUCCCGACUUCUGAUGAUUCCAGGUGAUUCUACUCCUCUUCCGACUCCGACGACGACGAUGAUGAUUUGAAAGAGUUUGAUCUCUUCUCGCCUUAUUUGUUGUUGUUGUUGUUGUUGUUGUUGUUAUUUGAAGCUUGACGAAGGUGGUGGCCAUGGAUUGCGAGAUGGUCGGGGUGAGCUCGCAGGGGAACAAGAGUGCACUUGGGAGAGUCACACUGGUGAGAAAUAGAAAUCCAUCUUUCUUUAUUUAUUUUUUUAAAAAUUUUUCGUGUUCUUUGAUUUUGAUAGGUAAAAGAUGACUCUUUUAUAUGUUUAUUAUUGCUUAUGAUCAAAUUGGCAAUAUAUAUAUAUAUAUAUAUAUAUAUAUAUAUAUAUAUAUAUAUAUAUAUAUAUAUAUAUAUAUAUAUAUAUAUAUAUUGUAUAAUAUGCCUAAAUUGGUCGAAUUAGAUGGUAUUUAUGUCCAAUUAGAUAAAUGCAUUUGUUAGAAAGUGGAGUGGUGUGGAAAAAACUGCAUUUUACUAAGAAAAUGAAUAUGGAAAUAAUGGCUGGUUUAUCUUGUGAAGCUGAAUGCUCUAGCAUGUGAGGAGAUGGUAUUUAUUUUUCAAAGGCUUAAACGGCUAUGUUGUAAGGGAGGUAUCUUGGUUGAAGAAAUUUUUGGUCAUUUGUUAUGUUGAUGCUGUGAGAAUUCAUUUAGUUCAAUUUGUGUUUAUAUAAAAUGUGCAUGAGUAGAUGGGAUUACUGGGAAAUUAGCAGGCUUUAAUGAUGGACCAGAACGGCAUGGGUGGAAUGCUGAGAUUGUCUAAUUGCUGUAUGCUAUUUAUAAUUUGCAUAAGUUACGCAUCGUCUUAAGGUGUUGAUUGGAAAAUUUUUAGCUUUUGUAAAAAAAAAUAGAAAUGGAUGAAAGUACAAGUCAUAAUCAAAAUGGAUGAGGGUACAGGAUAUAAUUUUAAGUGAAGUUCCGUCCUUGCAAUUUUAAUUGAAGCAGUGCCCACUUUUCAUUUUUAUACUUUUCUCAUAUAAUCUGAAAAAAAUUAGGAUGAUGAUUGAGCAGAACUUAAUGAGAACUGUUCUUAUUCCCUAUAAUCAAAAUUUCACAUGCCAAAUUAGUUUUGCAAUAAGUAGCCGUUUAAUGUGGUAGCAUAUAUUACUCUUGCUGAAAUGUCGGUGCUCAGCUUUGUAAGGAAAGGGACACAAUUAGCUGGUGGUCGUGGGUGUUGCCAUUACCUUAUCUUUUUAUUCUUGAAUGGUCAAUUUUGUUUUAUUUUCAGGUCAAUUCAUACGGGAAUGUUGUAUACAAUGAGUAUGUUCGACCAGUAGAGCGUAUAGUUGACUUUCGUACAAGUAUAAGUGGGAUCCGUCCCAAACACAUGAAAAAAGGUUGGCACUUCAUUUGUUCUAUUUUAGCCUUUUAUGGAAUCAAUGUUCUUUUAUGUGUUUAUGGGAGGGGGAUGCGCUUUUACAUCUAUUUUCCUGCAAAUUCAUCUAUUUAUGUAAGGCUUUUUCUUGAAGAGGGGCAUUUUUGAGAUGCAAGGUAAUAUAUGGAUAAGGAAUCAUGUUUCUAAAGAGCAUGUAUGAGAAUUCCAAUUUUGCAGAUUUCUAGGGGAAUACAUGUAGACUAUGUCUUUGUCCCGUGAUGAUUAAUGCGAAUGUGCUGUUCUAUCCUUUUGUUGCUAUCAGCUAAAGAGUUUUGGAUUGUUCAGAAGCAAGUGGCUGAUAUAAUCCAAGGACGAAUCCUCGUGGGUCAUGCUUUGCACAAUGAUCUUAAGGUUUCAUAAAAUCCUAGUUGCAUUGCCUGAGUGGGUACCGUAAUGUGGUUAACAAAUUGGAAAAAAACUCUGAUUUUGUAGGUAUUAUUACUGAGCCAUCCAAAGAAGGCCAUCAGGGAUACCUCGGAGUUCGAACUUUUUCGGAGGUUAGAUGUUCCUGUGUUCGUUUUUGUUACUUGUAUACUAUGAAUGAUUUGCGCGUGUCAAAUUUUCAUUGGACUGCAAAUGUAUUGACAUGUACAGCUAAUACAUUAGGGAGGGACGGCGAAGGGCUUUGAAGGAUCUUGCAGCUCAAAUUCUCGGUGCUAGGAUCCAACUAAAGGAGCAUUGUCCUGUAAGUGUGAUUCUAUUUCACAGCAGUAUAUAUUGUUCGAUAAAUUGAAACUUGUCGCUGGAAUAAGUAGUGUUCUGAAUCUGUGCCAUUUAUGGUAGUUACACUGGUGGUACAUAUUUACAAGCAUCUAAUAACCUACUUUGGUGCAUACUGUUAUAUGCCUUUUGGGCCCAGCUUCUAUAAGAGCUUCUCUCCUUGAGAAGAAGUUGGGAAUCUGACAAACAAAAUAUUCAGGGAUUUUGUAGCAGUGCUGUUUGAAUGUAGCUAUUUGAAGAAGCCUUAUUGGCACUCUUUCUAAAAUCCUCCAACUUCCGGCUGCAGCUCCCAUGAGUUAUUUUUGGCUUUGUACUCCACCAAAAGCUCUAGAUCUUUUGUCUGAUGCAUGCAGGUUCUGCUUCUCUAAGUGAGAAGCUGUUUUAAAGGCCAGACAAAUUUAGAUAUUUGGCUUACGAAUCUUUAUUUCAUGUUAUUUUCUUGUGUUGUUAGAUUGAGGAUGCCCGAGCUGCAAUGUUUAUCUACAACAAGCACAAAAAAGAUUGGGAAAAGAGCAUGAAGUCACAGUUGCGGUUCAAGGAGAAGCACAGGAACCGGCGAAAGAAGAAAUCAAGGGGGAUGGCGAAGGUCGAUGUUUCGUCAACUCCUGCCUGAACACACAAAACAGUUUGCUGGCGAACAAAACCCUACAGAAGGAACCAACAUGUUAAAUGCAAAUCCCAGAAUUUAAGUACUCCACUAUAAUUAUCAUCAGAGUAAUAGCUUAAUUUGGGAAUUAUGAGAAACAAAUGCCUUUUCCAGAAUCUUUGUUUAGAUGAUGGCACAAAUUUUGCCCUAUUUUUACCUCGAUGAUGGCUGUUAUUUGUUUGUAGCUUUAGUGGAGAGAAUGAGUUAGAUUUGUUUAUGGUCUUGUCCUUUUUUUUGUUCUCCUUUGACGUGCGUACUUUCUGAGUGCGAUUGAAGUUCUCUGUACCGCUCUAUUCUCUGUAAGAAAGCAAAGUAUGCUUCAGUGACAUGUUGAUGCUUCAUGUUGAAAAUAUCCUUCACUGUCGACGCCUCUUAUAAUCGUGCCAUCAUAGUAUUGAGGAGCGCGUCAGAACCUGUGGUCUGAUGCUUCUCUUGGCCAUUUUUCUGGCCGCGCCCUCGGCUGCACCACUCAGAAGGCCGGCCGAUAUCAGUAGCUAUCUCAAUCGUCUCCUUUUCCCUCAUACUGCUGCUGCUGCUGCUUCUGUGUAGUAUCAAACAAUGGGUGUCCUGGUACACUUCUGGCUUUGGCAGAAGCAUCAAGUCCUGGUGGUUUCAGGGUGUUUCAGAUCUGACCUAAAAAACUAAGCAAGCUAGGCAGCUGCAAAUGCCAUUGUUUCCGUCUCUGAGAUCCGAAUGAGCGAUCUCGGUUCGGAUUAUCGCUCUCUGGCCAAGCACUCAGAGCAGCCGGUGCUGGGCCGAGAAGCUCAUCGGGCUUCAUUGAUGUGGCAAACAUUGUGGAGCUUAAAGUAAACAGCACUCUUAAAUUCUGUAAUGGAAAAGUUAUCAAAUGAAGUAAUCAAAUGGAUCAAAAGAUUAGGUAGCAAAAUCUAGGUCAUAGCAGAUAAAUUUCAUACAUUUUUACCAAAUUAGUAUGCAUAUAUAGUUGCUACAGAAGACAUGCGAGCUCCAACCAAAACAGAGCUCUACAUAAAAGUACAAAUUAGUAUACAUAGAGGCCAUAAAGAAGCUCCUUUAGCCAACACCAAAUUGAAAAAAAAAAAAAAAGUUGCAACGAUUUAUAAAUCGAAAGUAUUUUUCCAGGUCUCAGAACUCUUGAUAGAGAGACCUUGUGUAUGAAACAACAGGUAUAAUUCAUGGCAUUACACAAUUAAUUUUCAUUUAACGGGCGAAGAACUCUAUAUUUAGGUCUUUGCUCGGGAAAGGCCGGCGGUCGCUGAUAAACGACGGAUGCGGCAUGGAUUAGGAUGCGCGCGGUAAGACCCCAUAUGGUAAAUUUCCGGACCCCUGUUUCGAAUUCAAAGUAAUGUAUCAUAAACUUCUCCCCCAUCCGCUCCCGUUCCUCGAACCGCCGGUUCUCAUCCUGUUUCCAUUAUAAAACAAAUUAUUGGACGAAGGAAAAUUUAAUGAAGAGUUUGUUUUGGGCACAAACUUAGGGAUAACUUUCGGGAAAAACUUCAAAAACCUCUCUCUAGUUUUAUUUAAGAAUGUGCUGCUAAAAUGCACUUGACAAAUGAUAGGGGUGGCGCAAUGUGCUUCAUUUCAGAACCACAAGGUGGUGAAGUGCAAUCGAACUAAACAGUAGUGGGUUUCUAAAGUAUUUGUAAUAUUUACAGCACUUUAGUGAGACAAAUAAUUGUCGCGUGCUCACCUUUUAAUAGCAUUUUAACGGUGGGUACUUCCAAAAAAAUGGGAACAAUAAUCAACAAAGGCGCCGUGCUACAUUUUUAACCACAUGGUCGUAUAGUGGAAUAAGGCUAUUUACCAUAGGAGGUUUGUUGAAAUUUCCCUGAUUUUUUUAUCCUCGAGUUAUUUGACAAUGUCAGGACAGUCGAGAACAAACCCAAUUUUGCUAUAAGGACAACAUAACAGUUAUACGAAUAAUAAGAGGUAUGGUGAGAGACAACUAUUCAAGAGGGGUCGGAAUUGUUUUCUCGUAUUACCCUAGGAUAACUCGAUUUGAGCAGGACUACCAUUACCUGUAAAACUUUAUUGCAUUUGGCAGAAUAAGAAGGACAAGUUAUACACCCUCCCAUUCCCAAAACAAAUGUAGUCUCAAUAGAAGUAAAGAAUAAGUUUAUGUAAGACAUAAAGCAACGAAGACUAACCUUGAGAAACAUCUCCAAGGGCGCAUCGAAUAUUGCUUCGACCUCGGCGGCGUUAAGUACAGGCUUAAAUGCUUGUCUGUCGGAAAGUACGCCGACAACGGGAACAACUCUAAGAAGAUGCUGCAGAGCACACGGGAAAAUGAAAGUUAGCUUCAAUUUUAGGAAAUUAAACAAAUAAUCGAUUCUCACUCAAGAAAUGACAAUAUGAUGUCCAUAUCAUAUUUCGGUUCACUGAGUAGAUUCAAAAUUGUCGUGGAGUUAUUUGUCAUCAAAUAAUGAAUGAAAAAAACCCUCCUUGCCAAGAGGUUUAAAACUUCAUCAACCACACCGAUAUAAGAGGGCGCUCUUUUCAUUUGUUCAAAAUUAUUUGCGAUAAGUGCAGGCCUAGGUGUCCAAAGAGAAGCUAUAAACUGAAUUAUAGUGAUAUAAGCAGAUAAACUUAAAAGGAAAACCAAAUAUUGCAACAAAUACUGCAAUAGGGGCCUCUCUGUUCAUAAACUUGCUCUUGAAUGUGUUUCAGUGCGUUUCAUGCGAAUCCCUUAUUAAGUAAUUUCAGUUAAUAAACUUCCCCCUGUUCUUUCUUGUUGUUCCUCAUCGAGGCUGAUAAUUUCAUUUUUGCUUUUCAAAGCAGCUUUUUCUCUCCGCAGACGCUCUACAGGAGCCUACUAGAACCUGAAGCUGAAAUAGAAGCAGAGCAAAACAUGGCCGCGAAUUCUUCUAACCCCGAUAAUUUCUAAUUCCUAACACCCUAAUGCUGUCACAAAAUGAGAUCACUUGAACUGCGUCGUGAGAUCAAUAUUAUGAGUGCAUGACAAGAUUCCAUACAAUGAAUAAAAGGAAUAAAAAUGGACUAAAAUUCUAUUCAAACCCAAUUAAAAGAUUACCUUAGACAAGAAAGGUUCAAGAACGGUGACGACGGUGACGAGAGACGGAUCAAGCCCGAUCUCCUCCUUCGCCUCUCUCGUCGCCGUGUCCGCGUCGUCUUUAUCGCCCUCCUCAGCCUUUCCCCCCGGCAAUGCCACCUCCCCUGCAUAAAUAUGAGAGAUCAAAACCCUAGAAACCUUGAAACCCUGAAAACCGCACCUUUGCAAUGCAUUUUGACUCAAAAUCCUAGAGAGAUCUCCCAGAAACUGAACCCUCGAAACACGAGGAACUCUGCAGCGCCAUCUCCCCUGCAUAAGAGGGAUCGAAACCCUAGAAACCUGAAAACACCUAAAAACCCAACCUUUGAAACGCAUUUCGACUCAAAACCCUAGAGAGAUCUCUCAGAGACUGAACCCUAGGAAUCCUGGGAACUCCACAACAGCGAUCGGAACCCUAGAAACCCCAAAACCCCUAAAAAUCCGAUCUUUGCAACGCAUUUCGACUCAGUACCCUCGACAGAUCCAUCCGAAAGCCCGCGAACCUGAGUGGGUGGAGAGGGUGGACGCGCGCUUCGUGAGGAUCACACGCAGCUCGCCGCGAUCGCCCUCGAAGAGGCAGAUCAACACGGCCGCUCUCCUGGGCCGGAACCGAACGUACCCGGCGCGAGCCGGCCGAGGGACCGCGUCGCCAUCAUCGUCGUCGUCGUUUUCGGGGUCGGAGAGCGCGGAGGAGGGAGGCGUAUAGAGGCGGAGGCGUUGGAUGAGCUCCGUUAGGGCGACAAUGGUGGUCGUCGACUCCAAAUCCAAAUUCAACUCCAACUCCAUUGGAGGAGGCGGAGGAGAAGAGGGAGACGAAGAGGGAGGAGGGGGAUGGUCCAGCGAGGGGGCGCCAUUUGUUUGAGAUUGGAGGAGUAGUUGUUUGAGUUUAAUUUCCCUGGUACGGUCGUACCAUGGACAACGAUUUUACGGCGUGCACCGGGUCCACACCACGACGCUGUAUUUAAGCAUAUCUAUCUAUCCUUUCGGUGGCUGUCUUUUCCCUGGACUAAGCCCACCACGUCAUCUGUGGACAAUGAAGCCUCAGUCCUCUAGGGGUGCAAAUGGGGCGGAUCCGGGGCCACGAUGGGUUUCCCACAACCCGCUCCCUUUUUUUUCGGAUUGAGGAGUGAAUUAAUUUAAAUUUAUAUUUUUAUUCCUUUCGCACCCUCUAUUUGGGGGAUUGAGACUUAUUAUAUAUAUAUAUAUAUAUAUAUAUAUAUAUAUAUAUAUAUAUAUAUAUAUAUAUAUAUAGUAGGCUAGUAUGCUUAUGGAAGCACGGAGCUCUUCGUGCUUCCACUUUGUUUUCGAUGUUCGGACUUUCGAAUCGACGAUUGGCUCCGUUAGAGUUGAUCUAAAGUAUUUGAAGUACCUAGAAAAUAAAUUUUAUAAUUUUUCGAUAUCAUUUGCCUAGUGAUCAAAGAGCUCAAAAUCAAUAAUUUUAAUGACCAUGGUGAGCCGGUUGCAAGUUUAACGGUGUAGAAAUAUCCAAAUCGUAUGAAAUUUUGAUAGAAAAUUCUUUAUACCAUAUAAAACAAGAUCAAUAACUUUAAUCUAAAAUUUUAAUGUCAUAUCCUCGUAUUUUGUAAGAUUUUUAUUUUCAGCCGUUGAUUUUGAGCUACUUCGAUCACUAGGCAAAUGAUAUCGAAAAAUCGCAAAAUUUAUUUUCUAGAUACUUCAAAUACUCUAGAUCAAGUCUAACGGAGCCGAUCGUCAAUUCGAAAGUCCGAACAUCAAAAACAAAAUAGAAGCACGGAGCGCUCCAUGCUUCCAUAAGUAUACCAGACGCACUAUAUAUACAUAUAUUAUAUAUAUGUGGUUUGAUAUAAAGAGACAUAAUUAGCUUAUUCAAGAUUAUUGAAUAUCAUGUUGCAUCACAUCAUAUUUGUAUAAAUAAAGAGACAUCAUUAAGGGCUCUAACCAACCCAAUUAAAUUAUGAAAAAUACAAGAAAUCACAAGUCAUCAAAGAGGUCAAAAUCUCUCGUGCUUCUGCGAGUGUUUCUCCUCAGCACAGAACCUCACUGAACAAUCCCUCGGUGCUUAAUAUGGUGUGUAAUUUGAUGCUAGAUUUGGGGUAUUCAUCUCUACCACCCUUCUCGGUAUCUUUCGAUCAUCCUCGGAGGAAAAAAGAAAAGAAAAAAGAUGUCCGCGGAAAAAUGAAAGAUGUUCCACCUCUGUAAUGUGCCCCUGCAAUUGAUUUCUGGUCAUUCCCCGUUGCGAUAAACAAUUUGGUUAAGCUGUGAAACUCAUUAUCCUGAAAGAGAACAACAGAAUAAUAUUAGGUAUUAUCCUGCUUCAGGGAUUUUUUUUUCUUUUUUUUUUGUGGUGGAUAUAAAUCUUCUUUCUAAUCCCAGGAUAACUUCAUAAAUUUAGUGAUUUUUUGCAUAAUAAACACGAAGAAGUGAUGGAAAAUUUUAAUCCAAAUAAUACAAUUAGCUAUGGAAAAUGUUAAGGCAAAACAAGCAAACUAGCAACUUCCACAAAAGAAGUAGAAAAGGAAGAAACUCAAAUAAUAAUAAUAAUAAUAAUCUAUUACCUCAGCAUACAAAUCUUAUGAAAGUGAAAAUAUUAGAUAGUGAGGCAACGUAAUGAGAUCAAUGUUUAAAUACGCACAAAACUUACCCUGCACUUAUGUAUCUUUGGGGCCAACAUCAAAUUUUGCAAUGAAGAAACCAAUAGUAUCGAUUGAAGACGAUGGAUCAAAUCUCUGAACAAGUUCUGCUUCGCUUUUCGUCAGCCAUCCCCUGUUACGACAAAAUAGCAUAAGGAAACAGUUCGGAGAUGACCAAAACCAGACGAGGAAUCUCUACAUUAAGGUUUAAUUGGGCCUAACUGCAAUAAUUUUGGAACAUGUUUAGUUUAGGCAAAGUUAAAUGACAAAUUAAAAUUUGAAAUUAGUAUGUAACAUACAUAAAAAAAAUAUAGCCUUUCAAUCCAGUUAACUGUUAAAAUUUGAUGAUAAAAUUCCACAGAAGUGUAACAAGUAAUCGGCUAGAUAAAAGGGACGACCAAUCAGUUAUUCUCAACAAACAUUAAAUCUCCAAUACAAAAUAAAUAUUUCGUGCAUAGCUCAACAAGGAGACUUAUUCAAGAAGAACAAAGACAUAAUUGAACAGAGCUGUGACUUAACAAAAGAAGACAAAAGGAAGAGAAAGGAACUCACUCCACAUAUGUUUCUUUGAACAACUCGCAAUGACCAACAAUUCCGGGUCCUCCAAUUUUUGGUUGCUGAAAUUUCAUGAUCACAUGAAAAUUGAGAAAGAAAAUAAAGGGAUUAGGCAAGAAGUUCAAAAGUGCAAAGGGGGAAAAAGAAAAAAAAAAUCAGAGAAAGAGAGAGAGUACAUUAAAAAUUAUUUGGGCCCUGACACAUGCAUUAAACAUAUACCACUAUAUAGCUGCUAUACAAUGUUAUGACUACAAUAUCGCCUAUAACUGACUAUAUAUAUAUAUAUAUAUAUAUAUAUAUAUAUAUAUAUAUAUACAAAAUAAUAAAUAAAGAUAAUGCCAAGUAAGAGAUGGUGUAGCUUCUCAUGAAAGUUAGCGAGUGAGCUUACUUGUGAUGCUAGUGAAAGAAACUUGUAUGUAUCCAAUGCAUAUCUAACCAAAGCCUCAUUCUCCCCUGGGUUUAUGGUACAUCUAAAAAAAACCAUAAAGCAUGAUGUAAAGUUGCUAAUAAUAAACUCAGUCAAGAUAAAAAAACAAAUUCAAGCUUUGAGAAUGAGACUCACGUUGAAUAUACAAUUACACCUCCUGCACGAACUAGUUGAAUGGCUUGAUCGAACAUCCUCCUUUGAUAUUUAGCAUGAUUUCUCAAUGAUUCCAAUGUUUCCUACCAACAUGCAAUAUAUCGUUCAUCACUUGGACAAACCAUAGGGUUAUAUAUGUAACUAGAUUUUUACAGGGAUAUAGAUGUAAAAGGUCCAAAAAGAAUCUUACCUCUCCAGCAAAUAGUCGAGGUCUCAAGCCAAGCGCAGAACAUGGAGCAUCAAGAAGAACACGAUCAAAACUAUUAGGCAUAAAACCCUUCGAUUUUUCAACUCUGCCGCCCAUGCUAUUAUUUCUUCCUGGUCCAUUUUUCAUUUUUCGAGCAUUCUUCAUAAGGUCAGCCUUGGAAAGAAGCUUUCUAUCUGAAACGAAUGUAGCAGUCUUGAAAACUAAAGAGCAUGAAGGAUUGGUUACUAGUAAUAGGCCAAGCAAUACAAGAAUCAAGGACUCAAAUUGAAUUAUUUAACGAGUGAUAUAAGGUGUUAGUUCAUUCCAUGGUGUAGAAAACUCCAGAAUUAGUUGUAUUCUUUUUUCAGCUUCAUUUUUGCUAGGUUAUAUUUUUACCCUCUUGAUCAAGUUUAAUGACUGAUCUUCAAAUGAGGAAUACUAUCAUCCAUAAUAAGAUUCUUCAAUUUACAAGUGUUUAUUUGAUACACUACUUAAAGCUUGAAACUUCAUAGUCUAGAUUAUGUCUAAUGGAAUGAAUCACCACUUCGAAUACCAUGGCAUUGAAUUUGAGGUGGAAGAGCACCAAGUGCUUGGUGUUUCUCAGCGCACCCAGCAUAAUGCUGUACAUUCUAUUCCUAUGCAGAUGGUCAGGCAUGCUUUAGAGAAUGUAUAUGUCACGCCCCGAGACCGCUACCAAUUUGGUUCGAUCCGGGCGCGUCGAACAGACGCCGGACGGACAGCACCUCCCCUGUCCGCCCAAGGCUAAACAACAGGAUCAUGUACAACAAGUUCCCAGGAAAUCAACUUGAAUACAUACAUGAUUAAAACAAUAGCGAGGGCACAACCAGUGCCGAACAUUACAAGAGCAAGCAUCACAAGCAUAAACAAGUGAAUAAAAGAGAGAUAUAACUAUCUAUUACAUCACAUUUGACAUUCAACAUUUACAUCCAUUCAACCUUUAAUACAACUUGAUUACAUUUAAGCUUCCAAAAUGAAUACAUAACUGAUAUCACAUAUACAUAAUGCUAGCUAUCCAAAAUACAUCAUAUCAUCUAUAACAUGCACACGAGGGUGCUCUAGUACAAUAGGAAAGCUCUACUAGCUAGCUAGGGUGCUACGCCCUUACCGCGAUCACCUGCCGGUCGCUCACGUGUGUACCUUACCCCAAAACCACACGGGGUGAGAACUAUAAAAUAUAGUUCCCAGUGGGUUCGGCCGCCGACUCCGCCGAUCUUUCCCACUAGGUCUAAGCUGGCACAGUAGAUAGAUAGAUAGAAAGAUAGAUAGAUAGAUAGAUAUUGAACUGCAACUAUACUCUAUUGUGCCAUCAGAUGCAAGCAAUGCAUGAAUAUCAACUUAGCAAUAAGCCUACUAUCAUGAUAAUAGCUUCUUGCUAGUUGAUAUUCAUGCAUUGCUUGCAUCUGAUGGCACAAUAGAGCCAUAGUUGCAGUCCAAUAUCUUAUCUAUCUAUCUAUCUAUCUAUCUAUCUGUGCCAGCUUAGACCUAGUGGGAGAAUCGGCGGAGUCGGCGGCCGAACCCACUGGGAACAUAUAUUUUUAUAGUUCUCACCCCGUGUGGUGUUUGGGUACAGGUACACACGUGAGCGGACCGGCAGGUGAUCGCGGUAAGGGCGUAGCCACCUAGCUAGCUAGUAGAGCUUUCUAUUGUACUAGAGCACCCUCGGUGCAUGGUUAUAGAUGAUAUGAUGUAUUUUUGGAUAGCUAGCAUUAUUGUAUAUGUGAUAUCAUUAUGUAUUCAUUUUGGAAGCUUAAAUGUAAUCAAGUUGUAUUAAAGGUUGAAUGGAUGUAAAUGUUGAAUGUCAAAUGUGAUGUAAUAGAUAGUUAUAUCUCUCUUUUAUUCACUUGUUUAUGCUUGUGAUGCUUGCUCUUGUAAUGUUCGGCACUGGUUGUGCCCUCGCUAUUGUUUUGAUCAUGUAUGUAUUCAAGUUGAUUUCCUGGGAACUUGUUGUACAUGAUCCUGUUGUUUAGCCUUGGGCGGACAGGGGAGGUGCUGUCCGUCCGGCGUCUGUUCGACGCGCCCGGAUCGAACCAAAUUGGUAGCGGUCUCGGGGCGUGACAGUAUAUGCACCCGCUUGUGUUGAUCAGUUACGUACACAAGUAGCUCUAGACAGUUUAAAAUGAGAACAAAACUUAGGAAAAUCAUAAUAAAGCUUCUGCAUGAUCUCAAAAUUUUAAAUCAACAUUAUCAAAAUGCAUAUAGUUUUCAAUCAUGAGAUCUACAGCAAAGUAUCUACAUGAUCUCCUUUUGCAGAAUCAAGAUUAUUAGAACGCAUCUAGUUUGCUGUGAAUACAAACAAGAAAUUAUAAAAUUUAGAUGCUUUUACCAUUUUGUUCAAUCUUUGAAUUGGGGCAGCAUUUUUCUGUAUUAGACACCUGAUCACCAACUGCAGGCUUAUAAGAUUUAUCAUCUUCUGUUACAGUAGCCUCAACAUCAGUUUCCUCAUUAGUCCUCCGCACAGAUUUAAGAGCAUCGAGUUUAUACGCUUUUAUGCAAUGUAGGUCCAUCUCAGCAGCCAACUUCAAAAUUUCCAUUACCUGAACAUUGCAUGUUUCAUGAUUUAAUUAAACAAUUACAAUAUAUAAUAAUGUAGAAAAAACAAGUAAUUUUUUCUCCCUAUAUAUCGUUCCAGGUAUUAGCCACUCAAAGUUAAAAAAAGGAGGUAGUUCUUUAAUGGUGAACCACUACAAGACUAAUUUCAGAUAGAUUUUCAUAAAUAUAAACACAAUACUUUUUUUUUUAUAAGAUUAAGCAUCAUUAAGAGGACAGAAAAUUCAAGAUCUUAGAGGAGCAAUAGGUCUACCUUAUUGUGAGAUCUAUCAAUGGCAACCACCUCUCCUUUGUCCCUCAUAAGGAUAGCAAUUGCAGUUGUUUUUCCUCCUGGAGCCGCACACAUGUCCAAUAUCCGCUCUCCUUGCUGUGGAUCUAUGCCAAAUAAGUAAAGUCAAAUAAAACAUGUAGACAAUAAGAGAGCCUAUUUAAUCCAUGAUGACCAUAAACAUCAAAAGGUACCUAUAAAGCAAUAAAUAUGCUCAGGUUAUAGAUUUACAAAUAUCAUUAAUGUUGCAUUCCUGGAACUUACAGUCACCCAUUAUGUAAUGUAGAGCAACAAUGUGAAAGAUGCAUGCUGACAAGUAAUCUAUCACUUGGGAAAAAAGAAUCAUACACUUUCCCCUUCACAUGUAGUCUCUCCUGGCAAUUGAACUAAUAUUAAUUUGGCUAGAUAUGCAUAAAAUAAUAAAACAUCCAUCAAAGUAUUUAUUACAGAAUGUGUGCCUACAUUACUUUAUAGUACGUGAACAAACUAAAAAUGCCAACUCCCUGUCCCAGUCAGUAUACAGUUGACAUCGGACACUUGGAUGGUAGACCCCCAAUGCUACUGAGAAGUGGACACUGUAAGCUUGUUAAGGGCCAGUCAUGAAUAUCAAUUUGACUAGCUCAAAUGAUGUAGCUUCUAAAUAACAUAAAGGAUUCGUCAAAGAGAUCGAUCAGCAAAAGAGAAUAACAAUAUCUAGUCUCUGGCAGCAUGAAGUUCCUCAUUAUCCAUUCUAAAUCAUUGUUGACAGUAAUAAGGUGCUUUGGAAAGAGUAUUAGCACCAUGUUCUGUUAAUUGAAGAUAAUCACCACCCAGAAAAAAAUGAGAUAUCAUAGCAAAGAAAUUCAGAAUAAGGAUCUUAAAACACAGCAGCAGAGAAUCCACUUAUGGAGGAAAUUAAGAUAAAUCUACCAACAAGAAAAGUACAUAAGAACUCAUAGGCGAAUUAUUUUUCAAUUCAUACCUAGAACACGAGCAGUUAUAAUGCUGGGCAAAUUUUGAAGAAAUAUUUCUCCUUCAAGCACAUCUGAUUAAGAAAAUGAAGCACGUCACAGAAAGAUUGAGUAGAAUACAAUGUGAAAUGUUUACUGUUUUCUUAAGGAGAAACUUUGGAAACAUAAGGUGAAACAUAGAUUAAAGAAUGGAAGCUGUUCUGUAUUAUGAAAAGUUCAUACAUCAAAAUUUCAGUCAUUUAUAGCGGGAUUAUUUAUAAACAAUAUAACAGUGGAAAUCUUCAAAAAUCCAGUAAGUGCAUACCAUUAAAGGAUGGAAGUUUAUAUACUCUAUCUUCCAUUUCUACUCCAACUCCUUCAGAUGCACGGAAGAUGCCAGCCCUCGACAUUGAAGUGACUCCUUGCCCAAUGUACAGGCCACUUCUUUCUCGGUAAAGGGGAUCUGCCAUAUUUUAACAACCAAUUAGAUAUGAUCAGUUUAAUAUACAUAGACAAGUGACUCACAGAAUAAAGAUGUGUUCUAUGAUUGGCGCACUCACCAACAACUACAGAGAACAAUAACUGCUACUAUUUUGAUAUUUGCUUUUAAAUUUUAGUGGAAGGCACCUGAUUGCUGGAUUUAUUUGUUCUACAGAGAAAAAACUUAAAUUCGGAAGAACGUUUAAUUUGUUAUAGGUAUCAACAUAUUAACAAGAAACGAAAUUGAUUAAUUUAAUUAGAUAAGUCCCCAGCAACUCUGGCAAUUAGUGGCUAGAAUCACUUGCCUGAUUGUAGUCCCUGUAGAACAGUCCCACGCGUAAAACCAACCGACCACCCACCAUACUCAACAGGCUGUUCAAUAGCCACUGAUACUGCAACCUUGUCCCCUUUUUCAACAUGUGAACUACAAGCCAACACACCUGGCACAUAUACCUGCACAUAAAGCACAACCACCCAAAAUGCCAAGACUCUUCAAAUCUUCAGAAAAUACAGAGAUGAAUUUCACAUUUAUAAUAUGGCUAUUAAUUUCAUAAGAUAUUUAUGAAUAUAACACUAGAAAAUUAUCUACUUACCUAUAUUCCUGCAAAAUUUGAAUUUUUACAGGGAAAAAAUAAGCCAGAUACCCCUGACAAUCAGCGCAAUUGCAGAUUGUCACACGAGCUUUAAAGUUUAAAAUAAACUGGGCAAAACUUCGUAAUUACUGUCAAUCAACCAUCUAGCCUUGAAAUCUGUUAAUUUUCCUUAACAAUCUUCCCUUUUAUAUACGCCCUUCCAAAAACUUGCAAAACUUGUGUAACACAAACCAACUUUCCCCCAUGAAUUUGAUGCCUAACCAACCUAAGACAAUGGUAAAACUGUAAAUAAUUGCUAAUUUGAUGCCUAACCAACCUAAGACAAGGGUAAAACUGUAAAUAAUUGCUCUUGCGAAGGGUAUAUAUGAAAUUCAGGUUUUACGGGGUUAUAUAGAAAUUUUGCAGGGACGUAUACAUAAAAGCCCCUAAUUUGGAAAUACUUUGAAGGACAUAGAACGAAUUACUCGCUAAGAGAAAAUAGCAUCUAUGAUUCAUGAGUGACAAGGAGUCAAACAGGCAUAUAGAUUGGCACAAUCACCCUUCUUAAGCCACAUCAGUGGCCACAGUGCAAUUAACUAUGAACAAAUAAUAAUAAGGGCUGACAAGAAUGGGGCCCACCAGAUGAAGUGGAUGGAAUUGCCCUUCAAAUCUGAUCAUAAUAUAGUUGCCUUUUUGAAUCAUUUGUGCUGAGUGAGUAGAUACAACGAUUGAAAUUCUGGACACUAAUGAGUAAAAAUCUCUUAGUAAGAGUUGAGCAUAUAGAUAAUGAAAAUAUUAAGUCCUAGACAUGCACAUAGACUACCUGAGAAGCAUGUACUAUUGUACAUGCAUAAUAAAAAAAACCAUAAAUUACAUAUCUAAGUAUAACUUGUUUAAUUGAUGAUGUAAUAAAGUCAUGUCCUCACUAAACAUGGCAUAGCUCUGCUCAUAUCUGGAACAUAUCACAUAGUAAUACUUAUCAGAUGGCAUUGGUAUGAGUCAAAUUCUUCUCCAAGAAUUUUAAUUUUCAAAGAAACAUCGCAUACAUCUAAAAUGCAUUUCAGAUACAUCAGCAUGGCUCUAGAUAUUUAACAACAACUAUACAACUAAUGCCCAUAAAAGAACGUGACAGAGGGAAAUUUUACCAAGCAAGCAUAAUUUUCAAUAAAAAUAUAAUUUACAGGUACUUAGAUUGCAACACAAUAUUACAACAAUUAAAUUAUAGCUAAAAGAUAUACCUGAGCCCCUCGGAGAACCGCUUCAGCACAUUUUCGACUCACGAUUACUUCCUUCAUAGGCUCGCCGGUAAGAUCAUAGCACAGAAUGUGUGGACCCGAACCUCUAACCAAUACAACAUUAUCAAGACCGGGAUAUUGGCAUUUAGAUAUGGGAGAGCUUCCUAAAAAUUGAAUAGGUGUUUCUGCUUCCCCGGAAGUGCUGUUACAAUUAGACACUCUUUCUUGAUUAUUUACUUGAUUAGCUUCAAUACCAUUACACAUGUCAUUUCCAUCCAGAAUGUUCUUUAGCUUUUCCACAACAGCAUCGACAGAGGACUUGAGAGUGUUCACUCGGAUACAAGAGUAGCAAGAUGGUCGCCUAGCAAUACACAUUAUGGCACACAAUUAUAGAUCAGAUUGUUGAAAAUGAGACUACAAUGCCAAGUUCAUUUCACUAGGAUUUACACCACCAUUUUUUUUAUAUGCUGAUUAGUUCAAAAGCUUACAGAUGUUCAUAUUUUGGAUCCCCCAAUCUGAUUCAAAUCUACCAUGCAGUAAAUGAGCUAAAAAAUUAAUAUCCAAAAAUUGCGAAAAGUGAAAACAUAGAAAACAAAAAAAAUCUGUUCUUUUAUAACAUACUAAAAAUUUAAAAAUAAGGGUUUUUCUCGAUCUGCGCUAGAAUGUAGGUGCUAAAAUGCCGUUAAACUUGUAAUGUUCCAUAGGCAACUUUUGCAGCGAAAUCAUGUAAUCAUACAUGAGUUAUUCAAAUCGCUAAUUCCAUCAGUUUUGUUGUUUGAUUGUAAUCACCGUCACCCUUACUCAUCUCUCCCCACACUACAUCCUGAGCGUAAGUACAUUACUAGAAAUAGCAAAAACCCUAAAAUUGUCAUCUAAAGUCCUAAAAAUACAUCCAAUAAUCGACUCUUUGAGGAGAAAAGAGGAGAUAGAACGGAUUCACGAGGGUCGGCGCUUACGUUAGGGCUUUGGAGAUCCGGGCGAAGUGCUCGGCCCCGUAGGCGUGCGCGAAGUACGCCUCCACCUGCGUGUUCCAUCGAAGCUCCGGGUUGUAGCUGUAUCUCCCCUCCGCCGCCUCCUCCGCCACUUUCGCCAUAGAAGAAGACGACGACGAAGAAGAAGACACCAUAUGUGGGAACGAUGAUCGUCUUAAGAAGGAGAGAGGGGCGGCGGCGGCGGAGAGGCGGCGGCGGCGGCGGAGGAGGAGGAAGGUUCGGAUUCCGAGUAGGGAGGAGAAGAAGCUCGCGCUCGCUCUCUUCAUUCGGAGGGCACGAUCCGACCCGACCCGACCCGCCGCUCGAGUUUAAGUUUAAACCCGAAUCCGACCCGUUUUAUAGCGGAUCGGGUAAGUCACCGCACCAGUUCCACAACACGAUCCAAUAGAACGACCGGUGUUGGACUUGAAAUUAGGGCGUGUUUGUUCACCCGAGCUCGACCCUAGGAAAGACGGUGAGAGUUCCGUCCGUUCAGGAGAUCUAGACUUUAUGCGUAACGCUCGCGAAGUUGACUCUAUGAAAGACAGUGAGAGUUCUAUUCAAUCAGGUGAACUUGACUUUGCGUGUAACGAUCGCAAAGUCAUGAGUUCACGCCCACACCCGAGCUCGCCGCCGUGUGUGACUGUCUCACACAUGCGGAUCGUGUCGGUCCUUACUGACUACCACUGACUACCGAGAUCAUAGCGUCAUCCAAAUGCCGGCGAUCUCGAGCUCCACGAAGUGGCGACUUCAACAUGGAACUCGCAUGGAAACAAACACACCCCUUACCGAGUGAAAUCCGAAAUCAAUAACCUUUCUCUCGUAUGGAAUCUGAAGCUUCAAGCUGAUGCCUCUAUUUCUCAGGCUCUCAACACAUCAGUUCGGCUUAUUACUUAGCAGAAAUUUUAGAUGUAUUCUAUUUUUAAAUGCUUGGAAAUUAUUACCGCCAAAAGCAGAAACAAAAGAACAAUCCAAAUAUGGUUAUUUAUAAGGAUGCACACGGCUUUGUUCAAAACCAAAAAUCAAAUUCAACCAAAACAAAUAAGACUAUCGGAUUCGGUUUCAAAAUUUACUAAAGUUCAGUUUUCGGUUUGAAUACAUUUCUUAACCGAACCAAACCGAAGACCAAAUAGUAAUAUUUUUUUUGCAUGUUUUAUCUAAACUAUUUAUUAAAAUUUUAAUAUACAUGAUCAAAUCUUGAUUAUAUAUAUAUAUCAACACAUUUUUCAAAAUUUCAUAUUUAUAAUUAAUUUUUUUUUGUGUGAUUUCAUUAUAAUUCAAUUUGUAAUCUUAGAUUAUAAAUUAAUUCAUAAAAAACAAAAAAAAUUAAAAAUUAAUUGCAAACCUAACCAAACUGAAUUAAUUCGGUUUGGUUUGGAUUGGUUUCUGUGUAUAAAUACCGAAAAUUUCGGUAUAACGUGGAAUUUGCCUAAAAAUCGGUCCGAACUGAAUCGAUUACACCCUGAUUAUUUGCUCCUAUGGCCCAACUUGAUCUUUGGAAUCAAGGGACCAUUUUUCUUGGGCAAAUUAGGGCAAUGUGCUAUCCAUGGAUCUAAUUUAGUUGUAUUUGCCUAAAUUUGCCUAAGUUAGCUCAUAUUGGAUCUGUUAUUAAGGACUAUUUAGUCACAUCUCCACAUGAAUAAUAAGCAUACUAACAUCAAAUCAGCAUAUGCUUGAUUUGUCUUGUCGAACAGCUUCUCUAUAACGAGAUAUUAAUGAUCGAAUAAAAACAAAAAUAAUCGGUCGAAAUGGCCCCAAAAACGUUAUCCAUAAUUCGUACCUUUUUUAUAACUAUAGAUGGAGAUUGUUGUAGUUAUUAUAUAAAUGAAAAAGCUAUUUGAAUCUCCUUGGCCCCAUUGAAGUUUCUGUAAAAGUGUUGUUACAAAUAAAAGCCCUCUCAAAAUUUGAUGCUUCUAUUUUUUAAAGUUUGGAAUUUUAAUUUGGAUUUCUUGGGCUCUAGUCUUUAUCAAAUACAAAUUGAAAAAUGUAAUAUAAAGCAUAAGUAAAAUAUGGGACCAAAGUCCUCAAAUAGGUCCUUUUGGCUUUUUAAAAUUGACAUUUCAAUUCAAUCAGACACUUUCAAAACAAUUGAUGUAUUAUCCCCUAAUUCCUAUAAUAUUAUUUUUUGGAAAAACUUCAAAUACCACCCUUGUAGUUUCGCACUUUUUCACUUUAGUACCCUGUGGUUUAAAGUGUAUCAAUUUAUUACCCUGUGGUUUCGCACUUUCUCACUUUCUCACUUUUGUAUCCUGUGGUUUAAAGUGCAUCAAUAUAGUACCCUGUGGUUUCAUUUUUCUCUUUUUGUCAGCUACUCUGUUAAUAUUUUAUUAAAUUAUAUACAAAAAACUUCAGAUACCCUACCUAGGUUUUUCGAAUAUUCACUUUAGUAUCCUUUAGUUUUAACUUUGUCACUGAUUUUUUUUCCUCCGUUAAUAUUUCGUCAAAUUAUAUACAAAAAACUUCAAAUACCCUACCUAGGUUUAUCGAAUAUUCACUUUAGUAUCCUUUAAUUUUAACUUUGUUACUGAUUUAACAAAAAAAAUUAGUAAAAUGGAUAAUAAAAAGAAAAAAAUGAAACCACGGGAUACUAAUUUGAUACACUUUAAACUACAAGAUAUUAAAGUUAGAAAGUGCGAAACCACAGGGGCUUACUUGAUAUACUUUAAAACACAGGGUACUAAAGUGAGAAAGUGUGAAACCACAAGCGGGAUAUUUGAAGUUUACCCAAUUACUUACUCUACUCAAAGCAGCAUUUCUAAGACUGAAUAGAGCUAAUAUUGAUGGAGAAUAAGAAAGUUACUCUUGAUUCACGAUCAUCUUCUAUGAAUGGCGGAGCUUAUCAUCUGAUUUUUCAAACUAACGGUCAAAAUUUGGCAUCAACACUACGUCGUCAACUAACCAAUAUUUCAUGCGAGGUACUGCAUGUGCAAUCGACGUGCAAUCAAACACCAAAAGUUUUCAAAUGCACAUUCAUUACCUUUUCAAAUAAGUCUAUUCAAAUAAUGCUUACAUCGUGAUCGAUGCAACGACAGCAUUUCUAAGACCGAAUAGAGUUUAUAUUGAUGGAGAAUAAGAAAGUUAUCCUUGAUUCACGAUCAUCUUCUACGAAUGACUGAGCUUAUCAUCUGAUUUUCAAACUAACGGUCGAAAUUUGGCGUCAACACGACAUCGUCAACGAAUGAAAUAUUUCAUGCGAGGUGUUGCCUGUACAAUCAAAGUACAAUAAAAAACACCAAAAGUUUUCAAUUGCAUAUUCAUUACUUUCUCAAAUAUUAACUCUAUUCAAAUAAGUACAGUGUGAUUGAUGCAAUAUCUUAUGAGAGAUACACUGAGUGCAAUCAAAGUGGAAACACACUCCAGGGCUAUUAGUCAAAAUGUCAUGCAUUCCUUAUCCUCCCUCCAAGAGAUAACUAGUGUUUGAAAUGCUCCUACAUAAGAUUGGAAAUUGGAAGGAUUUGAUAUUUAGGCUUAAAAGAGGAUGAGACAUAUGGAUUGAUUUGAUCCCACAAAAUUAUUGGAGGUUCCAUUUGGUGCAUCAAUAUUUUCGAUUCCAUAUAAUUUAACGUGAUAUCAGAGCAGAAGAUUUUAAAUUUGAGUUAUGUCAAAUUCUUAACAUAAAUAAUUUUCUUUCAUUUAAUUUAAGUCCGUGUCUUGAAUCUAAUAAAAAGUUUCGAGCUCAAACGUAAUGAAGAAUGUUGAAUAUAGAUAUUAAAAAUAUCAUUCUCUGAUAACUUAAAGCUUUUAUUAGUCAAAAUGUCAUGCAUUCCUUAUCCUCCCUCCAAGAGAUAACUAGUGUUUGAAAUGCUUGUUCAUAAGAUUGGAAAUUGGAAGGAUAUGAUAUUUAGGCUCAAAAGAGGAUGAGACAUAUGGAUCGAUUUGAUCCCACAAAACAAUUGGAGGUUCCAUUUGGUGCAUCAACAUUUUAGAUUCCAUAUAAUUUAACAUGAUAUCAGAGCAGAAGAUUCUAAAUUCGAGUUAUGUUAAAUUCUUAACAUAAAUAAUUUUCUUUCAUUUAAUUUAAGUCUGUGUCUCAAAUCUGAUAAAAAGUUUCGAGCUCAAAUAUAAGAGAGAAUGUUGAAUAUAGAUAUUAAAAAUAUCAUUCUUAAUCUUGAUGAAAUGUUACCGACCACAGUUUAUUUCAAAAUCUGGGCAAUGUUUUGAUGAAAAUGUUACCGACCACAGUUUAUUAUAGAUUUUGAUGAAAAUGUUAACAAUAUCAUUCUUUAUCUCUGUUUUGUUAACAUUUUCAUCAACUUGGGCAAUGUUUUGUUAACAUUUUCAUCAACUUGGGCAAUGUUUUGAAAACAAGAACCGAUUAUGAUCUGAAAAUGUUACCGACCGAAGUUUUAUUAAUGUUAAAUAUAAAUUUACGCAACAUCGUUAUUUGACUGCUUAAACUUCUUUAAAGAACAGCUACUUCACUUUGUACAAUAGCAAGAGGCCAUUGUUAUGACUAUUUUCUGAGUUGUUUUUUUUUUUAUCAUAUUGAUAUUUUGGGUAACAUGGUAUCAGAUGCAGUUUUAAGUGUAAACAACGAAAAACUUAAUUUGCUAUUGCAUGCGGUGUCUUUUUCCUUAGAUUUCAUGUCCUGAGUUUGAAUUGUCUCAUCUCUGUUUCUAUUUAUUUUUCCACGAUUAUUUCAAGUUAGGUAUUGAACUCAGAUGCAAGAUAAAGCAUAUAAUAUUAGAUCGUAAAACACCGCUAUCUAACAUUUUAAGUUUUUUAGAGAAAAUUGAUUAUUUCAUGGUUGAAUGGUUGAAUGCUUAGGGUUUAGGGUUUUAAACUUGGUCUUAAACAAUACUAAACUUGGCCUUAAAGGAUCCUCUAGACCAAUUUAAGAACAAAGAUACAAUACACUAACCAUGAGUGGCCAAAAUAAAAGGAAUCAUGUGAGUGUUCAUUAGAUGGCUCACAAAAAAUUGUAGAAACUAAUUUUCUAAGGGGAAAAAAAAAGUUUAUGCAGAAAACAUUCUUUCCAUAAUUUUUUAUUUUUUUGGAUAAAAAAUUCAAAAACUAAAAAAAAGACUUUUUAAUAGAAUCUAUACAAAAAUUUUGUAAAAAAAAUAUUUUCUUAAAAACCAAACGGACAAAAAAUAUUUUUUUCAACUGCAAAAUUAUUUUCUAGAAUAUUAUUUUUUCUAAAGGAGCCAAACAACCACUUACUCUAAACUCACUGUAAAGAGAGCCCCUCAAUCCUUUAUAAGAUAGAAAGUAUGGAUAGUCCCUGUACUAUCCCAACUUUGCAAUUUGGUCUUUGAACGUUUCAGUUGACAAGUUUAGUUCCUGAUCUUUCAUAUAUACUUAUGUCGGAUCGUUGGCGCUAACCAUUAAUUCCAAAAGCUCGAGCUGUUAGAAAUACACAAUCAAUUCACUUAAAGCGUACAGAAACAGCGCCCACGGGUCUUGAUUGUGACUCGGCCCACCUGGCCUCACGCUACUUCGAACAUGACUCGGCCCACAUGGCCUUCCGCCACAGGGCAGGAUGCUGGCCCAUUUAAGCCAACAAUCUCCCCUCCAGUACCUGCACACAUUUACAGUAUGCAGGAAUCGAACCCGUGACCUUUGGCUCUGAUACCACUUAUCGGAUCGUUAGCGCUAACCAUUAAUCCCAAAAGCUCAAGCUGUUAGAAAUACGCAACUAAUUCAUUUAAAGCGUACAGAAACAGCGCCUGCGGGUCUCAAUUGUGACUCGGCCCACCUGACCUCACGCCACUUCGAACAUGACUCAGCCCAACCUAGCCUCACCCCAUUUCGAACAUGACUCGGCCGACAUGGCCUCCCGCUACAGGGCAGGAUGCUUGCCCAUUUAAGCCAACAACUUACGCUCAAUCAUUUUUUUAAAAAAAAUCUAUAUUCAUGGAGUUUUAUUGUAAUAAUAAUUUUUCUCUUCUUUGAAAUAACCUGAAACAAGAGAGUUAGAAACAACGAUGUAAAAUGGUCAUCUCUCGUAAAAAAGAAAAAAAAAAAAAAAGUAAACUUUGUUCCACUAACAGAAAAUUAAAAAAAACAGAAAAAACUUCAAAUACAACUCAUGUGAUUUCGCACUUCUUCACUUUAAUACUUUGUGGUUUUAGUUUUCUCUUUUUGUUAUUCAUUCUACUAAUUUUUUUUAUUAAAUCACUGACUAAGUUAAAAUUAUAUGGUACUAAAGUGAAUAUUCGAUGAACUAGUUAAAAUAUCUGAAGCUUUUUGUAUAUAAUUUAAUGAAAUAUUAACAGAUGACAAAAAGAAAAAAAUGAAAUCCUAGGGUAUUAACUUGAUACACUUUAAACCACAGAUUACUAAAGAAAAAAAGUGCAAAACCACAUAGGUGAUAUUUAGAGUUUACCUUAAAAAAUAUUUAAGUUAAAAAGAAUAAAGACCAAAUCGCAACAUUUGAAUAGUACAUAAAUAUCCGUACAUUAAUACCUGACUUAAUUCAGUAUUACAAUAGCUUUGAAACAGAGAGAAUAAAUUCAUUUGGCAUGAUUGUACUAUACCAUAUUUUCAUUCUUUUGUUAAAAAAGAGAACUAUAGUACCACCACAUAUAUGUAGUCCUUCAAUCUAAAAUCAUCAUUCAAAUUGAAUCUACUGCACGCAAAUUAACGGCUAGUUUAUUUGAAACAUGAAAAUUGUCCUGCAGCAGACAAUGUUAGAGAAGCGAAGCUUCGUACUCUAUUGUAGAUCGUAAGCGCUAAUCAAUUAUUUCAAAAGUACGUGCUGAUAGGAAGCACCCGACACACUUAAGGGCUCAACCACAGCGUUUAGAGGUUUCGAUUUGAUUUAAUUUAUCUGGGCGUUAAAUCUAUUGUUGGGCCUCUUGCCGUUAGAUCUCUUGUGGACUGCAGCCCCGCUUACCUUAUUUGGCUCGUUAGGCUCACCUAACUCAACUUAUUAAUCUUCUGAGCCUACUGUCAUUGAAUAGAAAGUUGGACCUAUUUUAGCCUACUACAACCUGCGCAGCGAACAUCCCAUACCUUUAAAAGAACAAAUCAUACAUAUCUUACCACUAAUUGUACUACAAAUCUUUUCUAUCAUAAUACGAAGCAAACAAUAAGGGGACCAGACUGAUACAACUAAGCUUCACAUGAUCUUUCUGUUUGGCCAGCAGACAUCCAUCAGGGACCUGAUUGGUGACUGGACUGCCUGCUGCCUGCACAAUCACAAUGCAUGUUGCCUCCGAAUUUUCAGGGAUUUAUUCUUCGAACAUGGACCAAUUUCGCAAAAAUCACAAGAUUUCGAUCAUAGUGGAUGUGAAAGAGAGGGCCUAGUGAUACUGUCGAAAUCGCAUCAAUCUGACUUGUUUUCGUGUUUUAAUCUAUUCAUCUUUCCAUGCAUUUGUCGAUCCGGUACUCGCCGUUUCUCUGAAUGACACUACAUUCAACAUGAGAAGACACAUAUGCUCUAUCCUGCUAAGUCCUUUGAAACAAACAUUAUGGUUUCUUUGGACUAUGUCUCCUACUCAUUCCAACUUCAAAUGAAAUCCAUAGCUCCACUUAAAAAUAGUGGAGUUCCCACCACCACCACUCAAAUAAUUCCAAACGUUUUCGAAUGUUCCUCGCUUCUGUUUCUUCUGUUUUUUUCGGUAUCCAGUAUCUCUUUUUUCUUAUGACAAGACCAAUCCUUAAACCAUUUUCCAAAGUCACUUCUCUUAACCUCUUGUGGCCUCUCCAAUUCUACCUUACAGUAUGAUUUGAGCAUACAUUCACUGUAUAAUCCUCAGAGAUAGCCUCCAAUUGCCUCCACUAUAAAUUGGGCCAUUCUGCCACCUCUUGCCAACGCAAACCUCGGCCUUCGCGCUUCAUCAGAUCGCAGCUGUGUCGACGCACUCCCGCAACAUGUCCUGCUCGCCGCGCUUCUGCCCCGACGCCUUCAGAAUCAAAAUCAGUAGUGAUACCCUUUCCACUGACUUGUUACCAUCCCUUGGAGCAACAAUUAAUCAAUCCAAGAAGCUCAGGAAGUACAUCAUUUCGCCUUACAAUUCAUUUUACAGGUAAAAAGCAUCUGAAUACAUACAUUGACUAAACUAAACACUCCAAAGAACUCGUUUUUUACUUGAUUUCUUUUUUGUUUUGCAGAGUAUGGGAAAUGUUUCUGAUUCUCCUUGUAGUCUACUCAGCCUGGAUAUGCCCACUAGAGUUUGCGUUCCUCAGAUACUUACCAAGCACUCUUUUCCUUGUCGACACCGUCGUAAACGGCUUUUUCGCCGUCGACAUAAUCCUCACCUUCUUCGUGGCUUUUCUCGAUCGUAAAUCCUAUCUUCUUGUCGACGAUCCAAAGAGAAUUGCCAUUACGUCAGUAUUCAACUAUUCAGAUAGUAUUCAGAGUUUAUUUGUUCUAUAUGAUCCUCAUGAAAUUUAUCCUUUCUUUUCGAAUGUAGGUAUCUAUCCUCAUGGUUCAUCUUCGAUCUGUGCUCGAUGGCUCCAUUUCGAUACAUGAGUCUCUUACUUAACAAACACGAGAGCAGGCUUGGUUUCAAGGUCCUAAACAUGCUCCGGCUUUGGCGGCUCCGUCGCGUUAGUUCCCUAUUUGCAAGGUCAGUGGUUUGGCAGAUCCCAAGUACGAAGUUUCCAAACCCAAAACGGAACAAAAUAUCGAUGUUGCUAGUUUUUCUGUCCUCAGGCUCGAGAAGGAUAUCAGAUUCAACUACUUCGCGAUUCGGUGCACAAAACUCGUCUUGGUAAAGCUUUUCCUUUUCGUGAUUGUUUUUACCAUGCAAUGUUUUGAUUUGCUCUCGACGUAAACUUCGAAUGAUGUUGCUGUCGAAAUACUGCUGCAGGUCACUCUCUUUGCAGUGCACUGUGCUGGAUGCUUCAACUACAUGAUCGCCGACCGAUACCCCGACCCGACGAGGACUUGGAUAGGCGCGGCGAUACCGAACUUCAGAGAGGAUGGUCUGUGGAUAAGAUAUGUCACAGCAAUGUAUUGGUCGAUUACGACGCUCACUACAACUGGCUAUGGUGACCUGCAUGCCGAGAACUCGAGAGAGAUGUUGUUCGAUAUCCUGUACAUGCUUUUUAAUCUCGGAUUAACCGCGUACCUGAUCGGAAACAUGACGAACCUCGUCGUUCAUGGCACGAGCCGCACCAGAAAUUUCGUAAGUUGUUUAGUUCAACAUUUAGAAGAUUUUAUAGGCUAAUAAAGCUGAUGAUGCAUUGGACUGAGCUACAAAAUAAUGAAGCUUUGAUACACUAAAACAAGAACAUGAAUUUUGUGAUAGCAACUAACACUCUAAUCAUGAUGCUCAAAUGGGUACAUGGAAAACUAAGAAGGGGCAAAAAAAUGACAAUAAUUGCAUUCUUUGCACUUCCCCCUGAAAGUUUAGAUUCUUUGCUCUUAACAUCCUCCUGCGACAAAUUUUGCGCAAAUAAAAGAACAGAGACAUAUCCAGUAACUAUGAAAAGAAAUGGCAUACUUACAAGAACUCACAGGGUGAAACUACAGCCAAUAUAACAUUGUUGUUUAAUUGAGAAAUAGUAGUUUCAAUUCAUUGUUUUAUUUAUUUAUUUAGCUAUUUUAUCUUUUGGGCACUGCAGAGGGAUACAAUUCAAGCAGUUUCAGAAUUCGCAGCAAGGAAUCAAUUGCCAAUGCACAUAAAGGAGCAAAUGUUAUCUCACAUAUGCUUAAGAUUCAAAACAGAGGGAUUAAAGCAACAAGAGACAUUAGAUAAUCUCCCGAGGGCCAUUAAAUCGAGCAUUUCGCGAUGCUUAUUCUUCCCCAUUGUGCACAAAGCUUACCUGUUCCAUGGGGUUUCCUGCAAUUUCAUCUUUCAAUUGGUAAUUAUACUUCUUGAUUAAAAAGUCUCACUGGGGCUUAUAGAAAAAUUUGGAGUCUAAAGUGAUGUUGAUUACAAAUGAUAAUUUGCACAGGUAAAUGAAAUGCAAGCUGAAUAUUUUCCACCCAAGGAAGAUAUAAUACUUCAGAAUGAAGCCUCAACUGCUCUAUAUAUCCUUGUAUCAGGAGCAGUGGUUAGUGUGACUAGUAAUUUAAGCAGCUUUGUACCUAACUAAUAAAUUAGUCUGAUUAUUUGUUUUAUUCCAGGAUAUAAGGGAAUUUACAGAUGGAGUUGAAAAGGUAAGAAUCUUUUUCUCUUAAAAAGGUACUCUUAUAUAUAUAUAUAUAUAUACACACACAUAAUCCAGCAGAAAUGAAUUAAAAAAAAAAAAAAAACUAAAUUGAAUUAGGUUCCCCCCUCUAUCCACUGUCUAAUAUGGUGUUAAAAUUCAGAUGAAAACAAAAAAACUAAUUGACCAAAACAGACCUUAAAGCUUGGAUAUGCUGAGGCGCGAUCUCGUUGAGUAGCUUCUUGACAAAGUUGCGCUUCUGCAAAAUAUUCUACGCGCAUACAUAUCCUCGAAAAAUAUUUGAAUUUAUACACCGGCGUUACUGCUAUAACUAAGUCCCCAAAAGAUUGUUUCAAAUUAAAGACCAACUUGUAAAAGUGUACUUUUGUCAGAAACUGCACUUUCAAAGGGUAGAGAGGAAUAUUCAGAUAUUGCUGGGGCAUGAAUGCAACUAAUAAAUGAUUCAGCAGGGAUGUUUACAUGUAAGAGACCCUAUUGUAAAGUUUUCAAAGAAGCAGAACAAAGGGAAAUCUAGUAUGCAACUAAAUGGAAAAUCACUCGUGCAUUUUAGGUUCAUGGAACAGCAGUUGCAGGAGAGGUGAUUGGGGAAAUCGGGGUUUUAUGCCGCAAACUGCAACCAUACAAUUUCCGAACAACCGAACUCUCACAAAUCCUAAGGCUCAGCAGGACUACACUCAUGAACAUUAUGCAAGAAAAUAGGGAGGAUGGGAGCAUAGUCAUGAACAAUCUUUUGCAGGUAUAAAUGCAUGACCAAAGCGUAACGCCUCUAAUAGUCCCACAUCGGAUGAGAUACUGAUUCCAAUCAGUUUAUAUGAGGCCUACACGCUAGUAAUAAUAACUAAGCUUAAGCAUUUUGAACCGGUGGUUUGGACCUAACGAGUUAUUGUUGCUAGCGGGUUGGAUCGUGACAUAAAGUAUUAACAAUUUUAUUGUAACUGCAAGAAGCAGAAGCUGAUGCCUCUAAUUCUCAAACUUUUCCAGAAGCUGAGGAUGGAAGAGAGUGUGCAUCCUGGGUUGCAUCAUACAGAUAUUUCCCCGCUGCUGAGUGAAUGGCAUAAGGGUAAUAGAGAAUUUCAAGCAGGUGAGAAUAAUAUGAUGCAGAGGGACAACAAAAGAGUUACCAUUCACAUGCUUUCUGAGAAGAAAAAUAAUGCAGCAAGAGAGAAGAGGGGUGUAGUGAUAAAUUUACCUGUUACUAUGGAAGAGCUCCUCGGGAUCGGUCGUAAGUAUCUUUUAAUCCGAAAAUAACUGAAAAUAACAUAUACAUGUUUGACCUAGCUUCUGAAAUAGCUUCUUACUUCAAAAAACAUAAGCUUUAGAAACUCGACACUCUUAGAGACAACAGCCUCUGUAAUAAAGAAAAGCUCUAGUUUUAAGCUGCUUCUGCUACAGCAGAAAGCUGUUGUUGCUUGAGGGAAGAUUGCAGAAACUCCAAUCAGACCAAGCAGGCACAAGUAUACAUUCUUGAUUUAAUUUUUAGUCUUACGUUUCACGCAUAUCGAGAACAAAUUUUGACUACUAAAAAAUAUGAUCUUUAGCACUAUGUUUUACUCAAAUUUAAUCAUCAUAUGUGUGAACCUCAUAAUAUGCUGGAAUAUGCAGGUGAGAAGUUUAUGAGCCAUCAUCCUUUGAAGGUGGUCAACCAUGAAAAUGCAGAAAUAGACGACAUUAGCGUAAUUCGGGAUGGAGACCAAUUAUUUCUUCUUGAUACUUAACAAGGAGAACAAUGAUUAAAAUUAUUGUUCAAAAGUUAAGGCUCCAGUCCAAGCAUAUGAUUAGUGCUUUCAACUAGUGUCUGUUGAAGAAAGAAAAGUGCUUCAUCACUUAAUUUGAACUCAUAAACUCCAACUAGCUAAUUGCUGGACCCAAAUUUACGACUUUUUUCUCAACAAAAUACAAGCAAAUCAGAAUUAUUUUCCGCAAACUUUCCUAGCAAGCUUCAGUUUUUUCACACCACAGCGCUGAUGGGCUACAUAUAAAGACAAUGUUUGCUCCUAAGACCCAAAAUGCUAAAAGAGCAAUGUCACACCAAUUACAAAAGACUAAAAAGUUUUAAUGAUUCAUGGGAACCCUUUUAAGGGGUCGGCGGUCUUCCCGGACCUCGCAUCAGUCCAAGCUUUCGCGAUUGUCCGUUUCAUUUCAUCAUCACCUUCCUCAUACAUGUUCUGCAAAUAUAUCGCCGUAACAAGUUGUCAGGUGUGAAGAGAGAAGAAUUUUGAAUAAAAGAGAGGGAAAAUAAACUCUACCUUCAUUAAAUCCAUGAUUCCGGCCAUCGGGUCUUUUUCUUUGUCCACGCUCGGCUUGAACUAUCCAAUAAUAAGCAAAAGUAAUAAAAAAAUUUGAGUUCUACGCGGCAAAGAUAAAUUCUUAAGAGAAAUAAAGGACUAUAAAAGGGUAGGAUCGAACCAGAUAGUUUUUAUGGACCAUGAUACCAUUUGCGUUAUUCACCUACUCAAAUCAUAAGGAGUAGAGAACAUUGAGAGUACCUUGUCGUCCUUGAAGUGCAGAUCCAACCAGGUCCCUUUCGAAGCUUUGAACAACGUAAUCAAAACUUUCGUAGGCUUAACAACCACCUUACAUUUCUCUGGAUCUAUUUCCUUGUGCAGUUUCGGAAUGGCACAUCGGUAAUUCUUCCCCUUGACAUCAUGGAACUUAAUAUCGAUCGACGUAGGAUUAAAGGAAGCCUCCACCUUCUCCUGCUCUACUCCUUCGAGGAAUAUGUAGAUCUGAAGAAAGCGACAGCAGAAGAGAAUUAGAUUGGUCCAAAAAGAAUUCAAGUAGUGUUUACGAAAGAAAUCAAACUUCAAAAUAAACAAGAACAGGAAAAAUACCCUGAUCUUAUCAUUAUCUUGAUCCCAGCUGAAAGAACUUAAUGCGGUGUAAUUCAAAACACUAGCUGCAGAAGAAGGGGCCUUUUCAGUAGAAACCGUGGCCUGCGCUGCUUCUUUUGCGGCAGUAACAGUCGACAACUAUCAAAGAACCAUACACAAAUCAGCAAAACAAUGUAUCAAGAAGAUAAUGUUGGAAAUAAUCAUUUAACUAACUUGAAAUCAUAAUAAUUUAUAACAAUAGUAGAGGGGUUACAUAUUUACAUGAACCAACAAUUCUCUACACAUAUGAAGUGACGUAUCACACUCCUAUUUGCUCUCCGUAUAUAGGCCUUGCUUUAGGGCUCAUCAACCCUAAUGAGCACAUUGCUAUUACCGCACGUAUACAAUGCGUUCCCCGAUCAUUCUCAUUGUGCGUGAGCAGCGAUUAGUAAGAAUGCUGUGCAUAAGGGCACUCAAAACUCGAUCUCAAUUCACUAUUCUAAUUGAUUUUACCAUGUUUAUGCUACUUACUAAUGAACACAUCUUGUCCCACUUUGAAGAAUUAAUUGUAGCAACAAAUUACUGAAAAACACAACACCGCCUCGCUCAAUUCCUAAUGAGGAUAACAACAUAAGCCACCAAAUUGGGAUCAUUUCCACAUCAAAAUUCUGCUAGAGAAAGGGAUUUGUACGGCGAUCGCAACAAGCGUUACGCCUCUGAAGAGAUCGAAAUCGCUGAAUUAGGGCAAAAACCUUGGCGUCGACAUUGCGGAUCUCGGAGGCGAGGAGGGAGAGGACGCGAGGCCUCUUGGCGAUGCCCUCGAGAUGCCUGAGCUCCUCGAGGUCCAGCUUCAGCUGCUGCUCGUCCGCCAUAGUCGUCGUCGUCGUCCUCCUCCUCCUCCUCUUCCUUGGGCGAGCUUCUAGGGUUUCUUCGAGCGUGCGAAAUAGCGUCGUGGGAACGAAGAGGGCGUUGGUGGAGGGAGUGAGCGAGGGUUUCGAAGGGUUUUUCUAGGGUUUGGGGGUGGGAGCUGGAACCUGAACGAAGGUUCUGGAAAAGGAGAUAUUGGGAUUAUAUAUAAAAAUUGAAAAAUAAAAAAAUAUAUUUACUAAAAAAAAAAAAAGCCAAUUAGCACAAAAAAAAUUCCUAUUUUUACAAAACUAGACCGCCUUAUUCGAUUUUACAGCUUCGGAUCGAAUUUCAAAAAACUGAUCAAAAUAUCAUUAUUCCUUUCUCCCUCUCCUUUUUUUUCUCUCGUUCUUUUUUUCCCUCUACGAAUAGAAAGGCCGAGGCGGAGGCAGAGGUGGAGGCGGUCCGACUCCCCUAUGCCCCCCACGCCCUCGCCCCUGACCGCGCACCACUAGUCCUUUUAGCCUCUGAUCUCACCAAGGCUGCACUCGUCGCCACCUUUUAGGACGCCCUACCUCGCCUUAGCCCUAUGCGCCCUCGCUUGCGCCUGCUCACCCCCAACCCUCCUCGCCUCCGAGCCCUUUGAGGCUGCGUCGUGAAUCUCGUGAUCCUCCUUUUUUUUUUCCCCGAAUCUCCUCCACUGCCUCCGCGGCCCUUUGCAACCCACCUCCACUCUAUCUCCAUUGUAGCAGAUUUUUCACCAACCAAAUCCAUUUAUUGAAACCCACCGUCCUUAUCACCACCAUCGAUAACGAAAAGGAAGUGCUUCUUGGCACCAAGCAACUCGCUAGCGAGGGAGGGGGCACGUGACCCACCGCGCCCACUCGGGGGUGGCGACAUGCGAGGUGGGGACGGAGGAGAGCGCAACGAUGCCGGAGAAGAGAGCGGGGCGGCGGUGAGUACGGCGUCCCAGAGGGGAACGAUAAGCGCGGCCUCAGCGAGGUUGGAGACGAGGAGGCGGGUGCACGGAAGCAUCUCUAGUCAAGCACUUUUGUUUACUUAAAACAAAAAAAAAGCUAAAAAUUAAAGACUAGAGAAUAAGAAAAAAAAAGCUAGAGAAGAAGCAAGAAAAAAAUAAAAUUAUACUGUUAAAACAAAAUUACAAUGUCUUAGAAGAAUAUUAUACUAUUAUAGACGUAAGUUGUACUCUUUGAGAUAUAAAUUGCACCUAAAAAAUGUAAUUUUCAUCUUAAAAAGUACUCUUUGGGAGGAGAAAUAGUAUAACUUUCUUCCAAAGAGUGUAACUUUCGUUUAAAGAAUAUAAUUUUCAUCUUAAAGGGUGUCGAUUGUCGAUCUAGAGACUCCAUCAUCGAAAAUAAAUGGGUAGCAAUAGAAUCUGUUUGAGAGUUGAGCUAAAAUGCUAUCAAUAGCAAACAGGCUUCGUUGCUACCCUUUUGUUUUCAAUGAUGGAGCCUCUAGAUCGACGAUCGGCACCGUUGAACAUGAUCUAGACCAGUUGAAGUAUCUAGAAACCAAAUUUCAUAUUUUUUCGAUAUUAUUCUCUUGUCCAUCAAGUAGACACAAAAAUGAACGGCUGAAAAUGAAUAUAUUUUAAAAAGUGAUAAUAGGAGUCUUGUAAUCGAGAUUAGGAGUAUAAAUCUUGUUCUAAAUAGUUCAAAAAAUUUUCUCACAAAAAUUUAAUUGAUUUGGAUAUCUUUAUACCGUUAAACGAAAAAUUUUUUCAUAUCAAUCAUUAAAAUUACAAAAUUUGAAACUCUUUGCUCAUUAGGCCAAUGAUGUCGAAAAGAUUUGAAUUUUGAUUUCUAAAUAUCUCAAGUGGUAUAGAUCAUGUUAAAUGAUGUCGAUCGUCGAUUUGGAAACUCUGUUAUCGAAAACAAAUGAGUGGCAACGAAGCCUGUUUGCUACUAAUAGUAUUCCAGCUCAACUCUCUCUCUCUCUCUCUCUCUCUCUCUCUCUCUCUAUAUAUAUAUAUAUAUAUAUGUAGUUGGUCUAGGAUACUAUUGAUAGUAAAAUGUCUUUUUUGCUAUCAAAUUUUUAGUCUUUGGAUCAAUUCCUUUCAUUAUUUCUAACCAUUGGAUUAAAUAUUAUAACCCAAUAGGGACCACUCAACCCUAGGGGGACUACUCAACCCUAAGGGACUAAUAUCAUCCUAAUUCUAUAAUUUCUAAUUCAAAGGUUAAAAACUUGAUAGCAAAAAGGACCUUUUACUAUCAAUAGUAUUCCAGCCUAGCUCUCUCUCUCUCUCUCUCUCUAUAUAUAUAUAUAUUUAUGGAUUAAUUUCAUACAUGUCUCUGCAAACAUAGUGAAUGCCAAAUAUUUUCCCACAAAGUUCAACUUUCAUAUGUUGUCCCUGCAAAAUCCUAAUAUUUUCAAAUAUGUUUCUCUGGUUUGUUAUCGCUAGAGAACGGUUUAUAUUUUUAAUUUUGCCACCACAAAUAUAUUCUUCCAUAAGCCAUACUAAUAUAGUAUAAAGGGGUGAAAAUGUCAAAAACUAACUAUGGUUAACUAAUUUUUUCUAACAGGUUCUAACGGUAGGGACAUAUUUGAAAACAUCAGUACUUUUGCAAGAACAACAUAUAAAAGUUGAACUUUGUAAGGAUAUAUUUGCUAUUUACUAUAUUUAUAGAGACAUGUAUGAAAUUAACCAUAUAUAUUAUCAUUUAUUCUUUAUAUAGACACUAGUGCAGAGACCCGCGCGAUGCAGCGGGUAGAUAAUAGAAGUAAAAUUUAAAAAUUUUAAUAAAUUUUAUAUUUACGAUUUAUUGAUAUAUAGAAAGCUAUAACAUAUUAAGUACAGUUAAUUUGUAUGACUAAAUUUACAUAGUAAGUAGAGGCCCCCGUGCGGACCGACUCAGCGAGCACUUAUAUAGGUCGCGGCUCGGCUUCGCUGGACGAUGCUUCUUGAAGGAGACAAUGUUCUUCAGAGGCUCUUCUUCUUCUUCUUCUUCUUCUUUGUUAACACAAUGAGAGAAAGAGGGAGAUGAGUGCGCAGUAGGAGAUUAGACGAUGAUAUUUUUUUAUGGUGCAUGUAAAAGAGUUACAAAAGAGAGGGGGUAGGAGAUUAAUUAAUGGAGGAUGAGAGUGGUGCAUGUAAAAGAAUUACAAAAGAGAGGGAGUGGAAGAUUAAUGGAGGAGGAAAGUGGUUAAAGUUAUAAAAUAGAAUCUUAAUAUGGUGCAUGUAAUUAAAUAUUGCAUGUAAUUAGAGUAGUGGUGAGGUGAGUUAGGCGUUAAGAAAAGAAGAAGAUGGUUUGAUUUAAAGUUAGAUUUAAAGUUACAUAUAAUUAAAUGUUGUAACUUACAUAUAAUUAGAGGAGUGGAGAGGUGAAGAAUUGAGAGUUGAAAAGAGGAGAAGGUGGUUUGAUUUAAAGUUGGCUAUGGAAGUAAGAAUAACAUGCCACGUGGCAAAAAGUAUUAUGGCUUCAUAUAGGUUUAUAGAUAUAGCUAAAUAUCUUAUUUUGAUAACUAAUGAAUCGUGCUUUCGGAUCAAACUUGGACAUAUUCAAAUUGACACAAAAUAUUUUUGGGCUUAAAUUUUUAAGGCCAUUGUGGACCCAAAGUUAUAAUUUUGAUACCCAAAGCCCAGUCCAUACAUGGGCUAUCGGGUCGGGCCUUGUUUAGGCCUGAACCCAGUUCCACCCCUAUACAUGAGAGAGAGAAAGAGAGAGAGGUUAAAAUCUAGAGAGAGUAGAGGAUAGCAACAAUCCAGUGAAUGAUAUUUCUUUUGUAUUGAAUAUAAAUAAAAAAUUAAAAUUUUUAAAAAACAUUCUUUUUAAUAUAAAAGUUGUUGUUUAUAGCUAUCUUUUUUAGGUUUCGUUUGAGAUUGCGGAAAGAUUGUGUUACGUGCGAUAAAAAAGUACAAUAAAAAAAAAUAUCAUAUUUAUUUCUAUACGUAAUAUUGCGUUCGGCAUAUCAUGAUUAGUUGGUUACGAUAUAUUUUUUUGCGGUUUCAUCGGAUAACGUAGAAAUAUAUCCCUAUAUACUUUUAUCAAAAUUCUAUUUUAUCUAAUAGCGUUACUAGUCAUGUCACAGUAACUUAUUUAUUUCCUAUAUCAUACGAGAGAUGAGAAAUAAGAAAUUCUAAAUUAUUGUGUGCAUGUUUGGACCAUAAAAACUUGAUUUAGUUCUAUUUUAACUUUCAAAAAAUUAACUUUUUCAUAUUAUUUUUAUAUAUUAAAGUAAUAAAAAAUUAAAUAAAGUUUAAUGGCUUAUACAAGAUGAAUUUAUGACUAUUUGAUCAUUCGUAUAUGAUAUUUUAAAAUUGCAAAAUUUAAUGACUAUAAAAGUCUAUAUUAUUUUGAACGUGGUUAAUUCAUAUGCUUAAUAUCUAAACUAAUGUGAAAUUAUAUGACUCUUCACAAAACGAAUUUGAAAUGAAAAUAUAUAAAAAUAUAAUUCUUUAUUUUCUAGUGAGAUUAUAGAAAAUAUAUAUAACAAACUUAUUACAAUAUAUGAAGGGCGAUAUUGAUAUUAUGUACGGAGAUAAAUAAAAUAUUUUUGAUUGUAUUUUAAAUAUAUUUUAAUUUUACUAUACGUACAUAUUAAGAUUAAAUAUUUAGAGUUAUUUUAAAUCAUUUACAUAUUGGUUCAAAAUACCCUACCUGCUUAACUAACUUUUGUUCACUUCGCGCCACGCAACGUUGCAUGGGCCCCACAUGUCACUCUCUCAUUACGUCCGUUAUUGCGUGCACCGCCCCUUACACGAAACACCGAAUCCUCCUCCCCACGAGCGCCACGUGUCCAAUCUCAGUUUUUCGACACGCGUACCCCAAAACGUCCGCGGCAUAAAAAACCGGAAUAAGAAUAUAACCCGACCCGUUUCGUUUCGGCAUAAAAUUCAAUUUUUAAUUAUUAAUUAAAUAAAUUUCUUUUUAUAGGAGGGAGGUGAGGGAGCUCGUCGAUUCCUUUCCGUUUUUGGCUCUCUCUCUCGUAUCUCUCCUCUUUACUCCUCUAUAGAGAAGAGAACUGUUUAGUUAUUUAUUAUUAUUUAUUAUUUUAUUUUAUUCAAUAUAUAUUAAUAUUAAUUUUGAAAAAAAGUUGGUGUGGGGAAAAUAAUAAUAAUAAUAAUAAUUAUAUUAUUAUUGUUUUUAUAUACAUACAUUUUAAAAAGGGAGGGGUUUGGGAAAUGGCGGAGGAGGCGAUCGAGAUCGCCGGAGAUCGCGGCGGGCGAAGGGCGGCGGCGGCGGAGUAUAGGAGGGAGGUGAGGGAGCUCGUCGAUCUCCUCUCGAACCUCAACCCUUCCGCGGAGGAGUUCGUGCCCUCGUCGCGCUCUUCGCAUGGCGGCGGCGGCGGCGGCGGCGGCGGGAGGAGGACGACGAGGAGCGGUGGAGCGCUCUCCGCCGAGGCGGCGCCGCUGUUCAUGGCGCCGCACGAUUACUACGCCGCGCAGAUGAUUAACGCGUGGUUUCACGAUGCAGCGGCGAUAAACGAUGGGGGAUUGAACGAUUGGGGAUUGCGAGAUCAGUAUUCUCGGAGGGUAAAAGCGCCGAUCUCUCCGAUAUUUUACUUUCUUUCCUGUUUUUGUUGAUGCGUGAUUAUGAUCCAUGAUGCAAUCAGAAUGUUAUAGGUUUUAGGGUUCUCUAAUCUUGUUAAUUUGUGAAAGAAAAGUAUAUUAGUUCAUUUAUUCUCGUAAUUUUUACAGAGUAAAAGUAGUUACAGUGAGAGAAGGAGGAGAUCGAGUGUUAGUAGUAUUCAAAAAGCUCAGAGGGAGGACUCCAUCAAAAAGACUGUUUAUAUAUCCGAAAUCGAUCGGCAGGUAAAGAAUAUUUCUUAUUUCGAUUUUGAUUAUUUUUAGUUUUUGUUCAUAUAUCUCCAUGUAUGUCUCAUCUAGAUGUUUGAAUGGUUAUCUCAGAUCACUGAAGAGCAACUCGCGGCGUUAUUUAGUAACUGUGGGAAAGUAAGAUCCUUCUCACGAUUAAUUGCGCAUCGAUAUAUAUAUUUUUAAUCUGUGAUUCUCUGAAAAUUAUAAAUAUCUUUCUUUUGCAAUUUGCAAUUUGCAAUUAUGGGUAUUCAAGAUAUCUCUACUUAUUCCCUUUUCUUUUCAUCUUCCAGAGAUUUGUCUUGAUUGUUCCUAAUUUCAAGAAUAUGUGUACUUUACUUCUUGAAUUAUGAAACUUACUUGGAGUAUUAGAUUUGCAGCUUAUUGCAUAGCGGAAAUUCAGGGUAUUCAUAUAAAUUCCAGAACCUUUUUCUUGUAGGGUUCUACAUAUUUACUCUGUGGAUAGAUUUCUUAUUAGGUAUUUCUAGGCAACUUUUUGGGGGUAGAUUCCUUCAAAUUUUAGAUUUCACAAGCUAGGUUGCUCAUUAUCUAAUCAUUUUACCCAUGCUAGAUAUGUGAUUAGUUACUAUUAGAAUCUGCAUGAGAGUUAUCUGAUAAUUCCGAAUUACUCGUGCUUUGUUUUUCUUUCCUUUUUUCCCCCCCGAAAGGUAAUUCCUAAUUUUUCAUGCUGAAGGUGGUCGAUUGCCGAAUUUGCGGGGAUGCAAACUCAGCUCUUCGAUUUGCAUUUGUAGAGUUUGCAAGUGAGAGUAAGUCAGCCUAUGGACUGAGACGUUCUCGUGAGAAAGCAGAUUUUCUGGCCUCUUUGGCCCAGCUGCAGCUAUAAAACUGUUUAUUAAGUAGUUCUAGCAUAAGCAACAACAUAACAAAACUCUCCUUAGUAGCUUCUUGCUGUAACAGAAGAGCAGAAGAAGAAACUUCAUAAUUGGAGCUUCUUUUUUUUUUUUCGGAAAUGCUCGUUUCCCAACGGAUCCAAAUAAAUUUCUAAUAAUUCGCUUAAAUCGAUGACACCAAUGGAUAGGUCUUUUGUUUCCAUUAUAAGCAGUCCACCUGCAUUUGCAUUAAAUUUUGGUUUGUUGUUAAUCCUCAUCUGAUGAAAUUAUCCAUUGAUUUUGAGAACUUUCUUUGAAAUUGCGAAGUUAUUCGAUCAGUAAGCUACAUAUGAUGUGUUACUGUGCAAUCGUAUUAGUGCGUGUCAAGAUGUCGGCAUGGCACCAUGCCUUGUUGUGCCAUGCCGACUAAUGAUCCGCAUGACUUUCGUUUCAAGGCACUUGAAACCUUGUAUGGAGUUUUCUUCCUCUAGAACAGAGAAGAUGUUUGAGAAACUAGGCUAAAACUUGAAACCUUGUAUGGAGUUUUCUUCCUCUAGAACAGAGAAGGUGCUCGAGAAACUAGGCUAAAGAGGCACUACAUUCUAUACUGGAAGUCGUAAUCAUGAGUUUUUAUUUGUUUUUUUUUUUUUUUUCAAAUUAGAUGGUGCAAGAGCUGCAUUAAAUCUUGGCGGUACUAUGCUUGGUUACCAUCCUGUCCGGGUCUUACCUUCGAAGACUGCCAUUCUGCCCGUAAAUCCUACAUUUCUUCCACAGGUUAGCAUACUGAAUUUUCAAUUUCACUGUUGUGUAUGCCUAUAAUUUUCCCCCUUGUUUUCUUUGUUAAAAAAUUUCUUUUCUGAUAAUCUAAGUGUUAUACAGUCUGAGGAUGAAAGGGAAAUGUGUACAAGGACAGUGUAUUGCACUAACAUUGACAAGAAGGUGCGCUAGACACUUCUCACUCUUGAGUCGAGCUUUUUGACACCUGUUUUCAGAGUUAUUUCCGUACAUACUCAUAUUGUCUAUAUAGUCCCUAAAAAAAUCUAAUUUUCAUAUAUGUACUUCGAACUCCAAUUAUAUAUAUAUAUAUAUAUAUAUAUAUAUAUAUAUAUAUAUAUAUAUAUAUAUAUAUAUAUAUAUAUAAUCGGCUGAUUACCCAUAAGGGUUUUUUUUUAUGUAAGAAACUAUGGUUUCAAGAGGCAUGUCUGAAAUUUCAGUUUUUCAAGGAUGCAUAUUUGAAAUAGAUGGUUUUGGGAAGUAUUCUUUGUCUUCCUGAUUGAAUGCACUUCUCUCCGUUUAAUUUCAGUUCUUUGUUGUUUCGUAUGUGUAUUUUGAAGGUUACGCAGAACGAUUUAAAGUCUUUCUUUGAGUCAAACUGUGGUGAGGUCAGCACAGGAUCCCCUCAAUAAUUUCUGAUUCAGUCAUAUAAGAUGGCCAUAACUGCUGGGCUUCCCAUUUCUGAAUUAGUUUGUUGCAUGCAGGUGUCCCGUUUAAGGCUUCUUGGAGAUCGGGUACACUCAACUCGCAUCGCAUUUGUUGAGUUCGCUGAGGUAAAUCUUCAUACUUGAAUUGUAUUUUUAUUAAAACAGAUUCCAUCAUUUUGGAGUCAAUCCUUCUUUAUUUGCACCCAGUUUAAUAAUUUAAUAUUAUCAUCUUAUCAUUGUGAGGAUCAAUAUCAUUUCCGCUAAAGCGAAAAAUAAUUUCUUGCCGCUAUGAAUCCCACUUUAGAACUUUAGUAGACCCAAAGUAAAUGACUGGAAAAUUGUGACAAGUCACUAAUUUAGGCUUUCACUGGGUCGGAGUCUUGUGAAACACUAUUCUAUUGUUGUAAGCAUAUAUUUAUGCAGAUGGCCGCUUGAACUUCAUAAAGUCAAAACACGCUAUUGAACAAUCCUUCCAGUUACGUGGUAGAACAUUCUAUACCGUUCAAUCAACCACCUAUUCCUUUUUUCUUCGUUUUUUCCCAUAACAAUGAUUAGUCAUAUGACAGCAAAAUGGCACAGAUACCUGUAAACUAACCUAGGCAUCAACAUAAGCAGGGUAACAAUUUAACUUGCAAUGAUUAUUUAUUGUGACGCCCUGCUUUCGAGAGGUUUACCUAUGCUAUACCUCAUAAGCAGGGUAACUCUUUUAAUAUUUUGGACCUAGCCAUCACCGAAAAUACUAUAACUAGGUUAAGAGGUUUAGCCAUACUGUUUUUAUUUAUGACUAUUUUAGAUUGUAGGGGUGUCAUAUUUGUUGUCGCAUGCUAACAUGAGGGGUAGAUAGUUUGGGUAGUUUACAUUAACUUUUCCUGCAAAAGUGUUAUAGUUCAAGUCGGCUGCUGUAUUUAUCCCCAAAAAACUCUUUGAUUUUGGGAAAUGGUGGGGUUUCAAUAACUUUUUAGCAACCCGCCUCCUUCUUUGUCUCUCUCAUGCUGAUGUCUCAACUUGUUGCAGGCAGAAGGUGCACUCGCAGCUCUGAGUUGCAGCGGCUUAUUUGUUGGGAAUCUUCGUGUCAGGUAUGAUGCUUCUUAUGCCUACUUACCGUUUUUCCAAUUUCUAGUAGCAGUAUAUUUCUUGAGAUACCAUCUUGACUCUUUAAGGAUAUUUCAGGGUAAGCCCUUCGAAAACCCCAGUUAGACCCCGCACGCCUCGCUCGGCGAUGGCGGAUUAAUUUGAAGGUUUGAUUUAUUCCACCAUAGAGUCGACGUCGAUGUCGACCUUACUCUCCGAAGAUCAAUAUUACCAUCAUCAUGAGCAAUGUGAGCUUUUCAGCCGAGGAACGGUGUUGCUACCGAUUAAUUCUGUUAUUUGCCAAAAGUUUGUCGCUUUGAAUCUAUUUUUGAUUUUUGGAGUGGAUUAUCAUCCUAAUUUUAUUCUUCUUUUUUUAUUUUUCUUUUGCACCGAAGAACAAUGUUUUAAAAACUUUCUGAGUUUCAACUCUACUUAGUUUCAUUUUCCAUUUGCAUAGUAGGGUGAGAAGUCCAUUGAGGGGUUGGCCCGAGGUUUUCUCUCUUCUUUUUCUCAUCCUUUUCUCUUUUUGUUUCGUUUUUUUUUUUUUUCAAGAUAUAAGGUCAGAUCAUUGCCAGUUUGUAGACUGAACCUUACUAUUAUUUUUUUUUAUCUUUAUUGCAAAAACUUUAAACCAUCUAUUGUAGCUAUCUGUUAUUGGUGUUAAAGCGUUUAUUGCUGCUGCUGCUGCCACCGCCACCGCGGCGAUUACCAGCUGCUGGUAUAUGUAGUUCAAGUUGUGCUCCCAGUUGCUACAGCAAUGGCAACUUUGGCCUGCUGCCGCUAUUGAGUAUCGGCGACUGCAAAACAGUAGCCGUAGCUGCCUUGCCGGUAUUGACAUUGCCGGUAUCGACAACUGACGGCUUCCGCAGCUUCACACUGAGUGUCGGCCGCCAGAGCCCGCCCACACUAACGGCCGGGCACUUGCCACAGCUUUUAUAAUGCUCUCUCGAGUACCUUUGGUGAGCACUUAAAACAAUUGCCUACUCUUCUAUGAUUGAUUUGUACUCUUUUUGCAGUUGAUUUAUUGCGACGAACCAUUUUAAUUCCUCCAGCAUGUGAAAAAUGUUGAAAUUUAAAUAACCGUUGCUUGCCAGUGAACAAACUGAUAUUAAGGCCUUGUUUGGAACUACAUUGUUAAAAACAUCUUCGAAAGACAGAAUCUAAAAAGUGCUUAUAGUCUUUCUGCCUCCAAUGUUAUAAAAUUAGAAGUUGAAAUCGCCCCAUGAGAAAAACCCAUUACAAUUUUUUUACAAUAAGAGAGAGAAUAUUAAAAGCGCUUCCCAAUUUUUGAAGCCUUCCAAAGCAUAUGUUUUAGACACCACAACUCCAAACAAGACCUAAGAAAGUUUCCAAAUAAAAAAGUGGUACAAAUACAGUGGGAAAAACAAACAUCAAAGGUUCUAUAUACACCAAUGAAAGGUAUCUCAUAUGCCCGGUUAAUAUUAAACCUAGAGGCCAAAAGAAAAACAGAUAACCUUCAAAUACCACCCAUAUAGUUUUAUACUUUUUCACUUUAGUACCAUAUAGUUUAAAAUAUAUCAAAUUAGUAUUCAGUGACUUCAUUUUUAUCUUUUCGUCAACUUUUUCGUUAAUAUUUCGUUAAAUUAUAUACAAAAAACUUCAGAUACCCCACCUAAGUUUAUCUAAUAUCCACUUUAAUACCCUUCAAUUUUAACUUUGUCACUAAUUUAACCAAAAAAAUUAAUAAAAUCGAUAAUAAAAAGAUACAAAUGAAACCACACGGCACUAAAUUGA